rnacentral:lncRNA from 1 species
UUUAAUUGGACAUUUUCCCUAGGAUUUAGAGGUCUUGUGUUCAAAUCCCUCCUUCCCGUCCCCACUUCUUAAAUCCCACCCCUCUCUGCUUGUUUUGUGGGUUGGGGGGGGGGGAGAGUCUCUGGUCUUUAUGACAUAGAGAUGUCUGCAUGACUAACCUAAAUGAUGUGUUUUCUCUCUCUUUUAUUUGUAUCCCACUAGCAAAGGGACUUGAUGAAAAGAUAUCAAGUUGGAUGUCUUUUUUAUUAGUUAGAACUGAAGAUGCAGUUCGUGUCCAUUCUAUGUGGUUUUCAUAACCUUUUAUACAUAAUUACUGGAUACCAAGUGUUGCACAGAAGCUGUGGGAUUUUUUUUUUUUUUUCGGUUGAAGACAUUCUGUUGAUGUAAAAUCCAGUGUCUCAUCUUUCUUUUCUAUGCUGAAUGAGUUAUUUGAACUGGAUACGUCUUCAUCAACCUCCCCUCUUCUGUCUUACUGACUGUGAAUAUUUUGACCCCCUUGAGUUUAUUUGUCUUUUAUUUGGAAGGACUAGAUCCUUUUCUCUUAAUAAUAAUAGCAUGCAUUUACUCUUUGAGAAGAACGAGAGUUUAGUUUGGAUUAAAGGCUCUGUUAAAAGUUGAUCUUUACUUUCUAAUUUGGUACAUCAUAGCAAGAACAUUAAAUGCUUGUUUAAUAACACUCCUAAUAUAAAAGCCAUCAUAAGAUUGUAUAGUUAUUACUUUUGAUAUUGAAGUUAUGCAUAGAAAUAAUGCUUCUUCCCUGGUUCAGAGGUUAGCCUUCUUGGGGUCCAUAUCAGGAAACCUAUAGAGAGAGGUGUUUUAUUCACAUCAACAGAUAGAAUAGAUUGACUUGUGGGUGGAACAAUAAUGGAUUUGUUGAAAACUUCAGUAAACGGCAGAUGUUAUCGUCAGUAAAUAGUUGAGAACUUUGAUAAAGAACUGUUACUUGAUUUUUCUGUCCUUUUGCUGACAAUUGCAUUCUUUCAUCUAUGUUCAGUUCUUUUUGAUGCUUUCUCUGCUUAAAUAUUUCUUUUUCAUUUUUUAUUCAGUCGUUGUGUCUUCAUAUUUUGGAGUUGGAAUCCUUUGGCUUCUAGGAGGCAUAGUUUAGUUUUAUGCGCAUUUUCCUAUAGUUGAACUCAUUUGAUCAUUAAAACAUGUUCACCUUCUCUAACUUGAAUUUCUGCUUAAAAAAAAAAAACUUUUAUAUCCCAAGUGGUCAAACCUUUCGUCGAAAGAAUAUCCAAAAUACUUAUUAUCCCAGUUGGAAUUUUUGUUGCUUGAUGCAGCAUGGGCAAAAUAGGUGGUACGAAUUUGAUGACAGCAAUGUUUUCCAUAUUAGCGAGGAGCAGACAAAGACAUCAUCUGCUUAUGUUCUCUUCUACAGGAGAAUUUGAGAUACUGUACAUAAUAAUGUCCAUUAAUUAUAUGGUUGGAAUACUGGAUAGUGAGACAUAUUCAAGCAUCUUACCUCAGGUUUGGUGCCAGCCUCUAGGUUUCCAAGUUCAUUUGGGGCAAAUUGGAGGAGCUCAGCAAUGUAACCAUUGUACAUAUGCCAACAAAAUUUUUACUUGUUUAAGAGGUGAUUCCUCCGGAAAUAUGUCUGUACAUCAUUCAACCUGUUUCUGGUGGGAAGAUCGUCAGGGAGCGACGUAGUGUUAACAUUCCUGUCGAAAUUGAUUAUACUUUUGAAUCCUUGUCUUUAUGGAGCUCAGUAUUCCUCUUUUGUUUUCGUGCUUGCCUGUUUACUGAAACAUUUAUGGCGUAAUUAUUUUUUAUCAGUGGGAUGCCUUGUUACAUAGGUGGUACCUUCUACUCGCAAUCUUUCCACCCCCCAAACCAACGCAACCCAACCCAACCCAACCCUCCGUGUUGUAAUUAUCUAUUCUACAACAUCCUAUAUGUGCUGUCAUCCUUGGUUGUUUAUGUAAUUGCUUGCUGUUUUGCUCAUCGGUUUUACUUUUUGGAGCCGCAGCUGCAGUUUAACAAUAAUGCAAACUUGCACAUACAAUUCGAUGUGUUGGGAGUUUAUGCUCUUACCUCUAUUGCAUGGAAUUUGUUUACUUAGUGCUCUGUGGUACAAAAUGUAUGCCUCCUGCUCCUCCUGUUUUUUGGGUGGUUCUAUUGUCCUAUUCCCAGCUUGGAAGUUGAAAGCUAGCUCUCUGGAGUUCUAGCCCUGUUAAUUGUGACUUCACCAACGUAGGGAAUAAAUGGGCUUGUACUCAAUGGGUUAUGCCUUUUUUAGCGUAUUAUUGGAAUCUUUUACAUAAUUAUGGGGUCCGUUUGGAUUAGCUGUUUUUUGGGUUGUUUUCAAAAACAAUUCUGUAGCAUUUCGUUUUUGAAAUACAAGUCCGUUUGGAUUAGUUGUUUUUUUGGGUUAUUUUUCAAAAACUAAGGUUUUGUUAUUUAAAGAAAAUUAAAUUUUGUUUUUAAUCCUUUAUCUCCUCCACCUUCUCUUUCCACGCUUUUCCUGCCCCAAAUUGUUAUGCUCAAGAAGAAUUCUAUGAACUUCGCUAUGAUUACUAAGCUAAUCUAAUGGUGUUUUUUUUUUUUUUUUUAAGUUAAAAAUUAAUUUCGAAAGCAACCACAUGCAUGUAUUUGAAAUCCAAUGGUGUUCAGACAUACCCUUUCUCAGCACUUUGACGAAUUGGCCAUCAUAACCUGUACAAUAGUCCCCUAGGACCAGAUUUAUUCUUAUCCAAGUGAAUCUAGUCUUUAUUUGCUGAGAUACACAGUUGAUCGGCGGCAGUAAAUGUAUGCAACCGUCAUGAUUACUCACGACGCUUCGGCUUUCAUGAUGAGACGUAUUAUAUCAGUCAGUUGUUUCGCGUAUCCAUUUCUCCAUAAAUAGGGGAAAUCUUUGUCAUUUUUCACAUUUACUUUCUUUCGCUUUCAAAAUUUUUUCACCUUUCUGUUAUCAGUUAGGGCGUCCGCUCCAGGCAACUCAACUUCCCUAGAAGAGUUCUUCCUCUUAUAAUAACGUGUUGUCUUUUAAUCACUUUAUCCCCGUAAGUAAUUCAAUCAACAACUGUUAAGAAUUUUUGGAUAAAAAUAUUCUUUAUAUUAUAGCAUUACUAUAUUAUUAUUAUCAAUUUAUUCGUUUAGGUUAUAGUGAUACAAUCAUUUUAGUUUCUAACAUUAUUUUCUAGAUAUUUUACCUUAUCGUUAAUCUAACUAGUAUGGUCAAAAAUUUUAAGUAUAUUUACACUUCUUAUAUAUAAUUAAAAAUAAAAAAGUUGGAAUGGUAAUUCUUCUUUUUUUCACUUUAAGAGAUUGAAAAACAUAAAAAUAAAACAGUUUUCUCAAAUUUUUUUCGCACUUAUUAAUACUAGAAAAAGAAAAAGAGAUAGAAAAGAAGAAGAAAGUGAAUUAGGAUUACAUUAAGAUUGUCGGAAUUAGGAUUGAAAUUUGGUAGUAAACAGAGAAGUGAAAUAAUUUUAAAAUAAUAAAAGUAUUUAAUUCUUUCUUAUUUGUAAUUUUUUAAAAAAAAAAGAAUUGAGCUCUCUUUCUCUCCCCCUCCCUUCCGUCAUCUUUCUAUUCUUUUUUUAUAUUAAUAAGAUUGCCAAUAAAAAAUAAAUUAAUAUUUUGACUUUUUUUCUUGACACUAAAAAAGAAAAGAGUUACUCUACAUUUUUUUAUUAUUUUUAUUAUCCAAAGAGGAGGGUAUUUUCUUCUAAAGUUUUUUAACUUACUAAAUUGGAUUAAUGGUAGGAUAAAUUAUCUAAAAAUAACUCUAUGGGGUAAAUUGGUAAUGAGACUAUAGUUUAUGGGAGUAAAGUGAUAAUAAUUUUAAGGGUUAAACAUGUCUUUUUACUUUAAUUAACAACUCCAUUAAUUUUGACCGUUAGUUUUGGGGGUAAAGUGACUAAAAGAUUACGUUAAGGAGAAAAUUGAUAGUGGCACCAAACGUUAAGAGGAUAAAGUGAUAAUAACAUAAAAUAGGAAUUGGGUGUGUAAUUCUUUUUUGGGUUAAUAACACUUUGCGCUCAUGAACGAUGGUAAUAGUCUCAUUUUGUCACCCUCAAUAAAAAUAUAGUCCCUCCGUCCGUUUACUUAGUCUUGAUUUUUUUUCACACAGAUUAAAAAGUGUAAUUAAUUUGGUUGGAAACAUAAAUUUAGAUUAAUAAUUUCCUAAAAUACCCUUAUGCUAAUAACGAAGAGUGCAUUGGAAAGCUCAAUGUAUUCAAUGUAAUGGGUUAGUAUUUAAUAACAAUGUAUUAAUAACAAAAUAUUUAAUAAGGGUAUUGUAGACAAUUUGAAAGAUCAUUUCAUUUCUUAAUGGGAAAGUGGACUACAAUUUGGGACAGACCAAAAAGGAAAACAAGACUAUCAAAGUGGGACGGAGGGAGUAUACACUUUAUCUCCUAUAUCCUAUUAAAUGUUAGACCCUCAAAGUAUGUGAAAAUUUUACUUCCAACUUUGCCCUUACUUUGCCCCCUUCAACUAAGAAAAUGUACACUUUGUUUCAAUAAUUAGCAACUAUAUAUAUAUAUAUAUAUUAUAUUGAACUGAUGAGAAAGUUACAGUAUAAUUAUAACACUUAAAACUAACAUACUUUACACUUAAAUAUUAUUGAUGAAAAAUGCCAUAUAUAUAUAGUUCUUUAAAACAAACUUUCUAUAUAAUUAUUUUAUUGUCAAUAUUUCCUUGCAAUGUAUUUUUUAAGUUUUCUUCAAGAUAUAAUUAAAAAUUUCAUAGUAAAAAAUGUACUGUAAAUAAUCUCAUCUGCCAUAAUAUUUUUUGAAAUAUGUAAAAUAAACUUUAAAAUCUUUAACCUCAAAAAGAAAAUGAGUUAUGUAAAAAUUUAAUAAAUUUGAUAUCAACAAAUACGUACACCCUUUCUUACUCUUAAAACAAAUAUUGUAAUUAAAAAAAUAUUUAUAUCUUUUAGAUUAAUUAAGUAAACGUACGUAAUUGUUUUUUUUAUAAACUUAUAUUGACAAGUGCUUUUAAAUUUUGUGUUCGUAAUGUUUUGUCAAUGUGUUUUGUUUAAUGUCAAAUUUAUUAAAUUCUUACAUAACUAAUUUUUUUUUAUUCUUUGAGGUUAAAGAUUUUAAAGUUAAUUUUAAAUAUUUCAAAAUAUAUUAUGGCAUACAAAAUUAUUUAUACUACAUUUUUAACUAUAAAUGUUUUUAAUUCCAUCUAGAGAAAAAUUUACAAAAAUUAUAUUGUAAAAAAUUGUUAUAGAAAGCUUAUUUUGAAGAACUAUAUAUAUGAUACUUUUCAUCAAUAAUGCUUUAGGAUAACAUAUGUUUGUUUAAAAUAUUAAAAUUAUAUUAUAACUUUCCUACUGGUCCAAUAUAUUAUAUAUAGAGUUGCUAACUAUUAAAGCAAAGUGUACCUUUUUUUUUUUUACACUAAUGGGAGAACAAAGUGUGAAUAAUACUGAGGUCAAAGUUGAAAGAAAAUUUUCACACAUUUUUAAGGUGUAACUGUAACAUUUACUUGGAUAGGAGAGCAAAGUGCGUGCGUGUGUCUAUAUAUAUAUAUAUAUAAUUUUUUUUUCCACAGGGCAAAGUGUGACUACGCCGAUGGUCCAUGGGGAUCCAAAUGUUAUGAACCCUUUCUUCUUUUCCCCUGGCUUUGUGGAAUUAGUGUGGAAGGAAUAACAAAACAGGCAAAAGCUAUUGGUAGUGGCUUCUGAACUGUAGAUAAUCUAGGCGGCGCUGCCGUGAGCAGCUCAGUCGGUUUCUUGACUGAUGACGUCAUCACCCAGCAUUUGUAAGUGAUUAUCUGGUUUUGCUUAAUAUAUGCUAAUUCCGUGUGCAUGUAACUCGCUAUUUUUUUUUUUUUUUGGCGUUCUUUCUUUGUCUUUUAAAUUUUGCAGUGUUUGCUGAAGAAAGUUUACAGCCGAAAAGCUUUUGGUUUUUCUAUUUUAUAUUUUUAUCUAUUGAUAAUUUUUCUUAAGAUGGUUGGGUUGCUUGUUUCAUCCCUGAGGUAUUUAUCCUUGGACAUUGGUAUAUUUUUACUUUUUUUUUUUGUGUAGUUCCUUUAUCUGCAAGAAGCAAAAGAAAUUUGUGAAUAGACAAGAGGGGUGUGGCCGAAAAUGUUAGUUUUUUUUCUUAUCUGAUUGAAGGUUGAUUUGAUGAUUUCUCGACUCAUUGAUGCAGUGCAAAAAGGUUUUUAAAAAAUCAAAUAUUAAUGCUUUAAUUCUUGAUACUAAUUCUAUGUUGUUAUUGGCUUUGAAUACAUAUCUAAUUUAAUUUUGUUGGCGUCAAGACAGUCUACCUUAAUUGCUUUUCAUUGCCUUGCAUUCCAAUCAGCUGCAGAUACAGAUCAUAAGGUGUUAAUAAUGGGAGACAAGCUUGUACUCAGAGGUUUAAAGUUCCACGGGUAUCACGGGGUGAAGCAAGAAGAAAGGAAGCUUGGCCAGAAGUUCUUGAUAGAUGUGGAUGCCUGGACUGAUCUGCGAGCAGCUGGUACUUCUGAUCACCUCUCAGAUACUAUAAGUUAUACUGCCAUAUAUGCGUAAGUCAUAAACCCCAAUUUUCUUCAUUUAUCUCCCAUUUGAGGGGCAAAAAAUCUUAACAGAAUUUAAGAAUUGGGACUUGAUUGUUUUGCUUUUGGUUGCCUGUGUUUCAUAGAUCUUUUGCCUACCAAUAUUUUUCUCCAUUGUUGGGUGACCAUGUUCACGUGAUUCAAACAUCUUCCUGGCAGGAUAUUAUAAAUGCCAAACUAAACUGCUUGCAAAAGCGAGUAUGGGUAGGAUCUGCUUCUUGUUCUUUGACAAUUGAAGAAUAACUCAGAAUGAGAAAUAUCACUUGUCUAAUUUGGAAUGCUUUGCUGUCUAAACAGAGCAUCAGACUCCCUUGUACCUUGCACUUUUUCUUAUAUUUGAAGCUCAGGUUGUUCAGCCUGACAUCGGUUCCUUGAAAGUCAGAGAGCAGGGCUACUUAAUUAAAAAGAAAGAGUGAAAAAGGCAGGAGGAUUUAUUGAAUUUCGACACUUAAGUUAGGAAGGAGUAUGUCUAUACUAUAUUUGAGCUCCUCUCUUGUAUAAUGUUGGAAUAGCAGAGCGAAAAUGGUUAAUCUAAAGCCCAUGGCUUUUUAAACAAGUUAAAAGCAAAAUUUGUCUCGAGACAUCAGACCUACCUUUGUCUAAAUCCCUACCCUACUGGAAUAACUUAAUCCAUACAUGGUCUUCCCCUAUGAGGUUCUACAAAAAGCUUCUUUAGUAGAUGGAUGACGAUAUUGUGAUCUGAAAAUUUCAUGACAACUAGUUUCUUCAAAGGAUAUUCAGUGGUUGCAAUGCAUCAACUGCAUUUAUGUUGUUGAUGCAGUGUGUGAAUUUUGUUGAUACAUCUAGAUGAAAAGGAUAUUCUGUGAAAUCUUUGACGCACCUGCCCUCUAGCUUCUACCCAUUUUUCCUUCUGGGUCGACCUGCCGAAGAAGCAUUUAAUAUAAGUUAUCUUUUGAACCUUGCUUUGCCAUUCAUUAUGUCUACUGAGAUUUAGUUACAAUUCACACUGUUGGCAAUGAUGUCUAGAUCAGAAUUCUCUUCCACUUGUCAAACAAAUAAAUGUCAGUAGUUUGUUAGUAAGCUACAGCUUCUUUAUAAUUUGAACUGGUUGAUUGGCAGCAUUGUCAAAGAAGUUGUAGAAGGACCACCAAAAAAUCUCUUGGAAUCUGUGGCUCAACUCAUUGCAUCUACAACCCUGUCCAAGUAUCCUCAGAUUUCUGCAGUUCGUGUGCAGGUCGGAAAGCCACAUGUUGCUGUUCAUGGUCCGGUAGACUACUUGGGUGUUGAGAUCAUACGGUACAGAAGUUCUGAUUUAUAGAGUAUUGUCACCUGACCUCAUUUCUUGUAUCAAUAUAGGGAGUUAUAGCUACUCUUGGCAAAUACGUUUUCGAUUUAAUAGCUGUUCAUUUCACCUAUUAUUCAUGCUAGGCGAUUUGGCGUAGGGAUUUUGUUAGCCGUUUCCAUGGGCUUUAAUUUGGCUGCGUCUCUCGCCUGAAUCUACUAAAGGUGUUAUAAUGUUUGCGGUGAUCAGAGUAAAUGUUUAGUUGCCAAGAAAUUUAUUCAUGGAAUAUUGGUUGAUUACUACUCUCAGUCUCGAUAACCAGUCCAGAGUAGAGUUGCAAACGAAUCCAACUUGUGAGCCAAUAGCAGUUUGAGUCAAGUUCGAUUAAUAUCAAAUUUAAACUAAUAAACUAAUCAAAUCGAACUCGAAUUCAAAUUCAAAAAUACUAAACUUGUCAACUUGUAAUUAGCUCACGAGCUUAAUAUUAUAUAUAUAUAUAUAUGUGUGUAUUUUUAAUAUUAAAAUUAUAUAUAUAUUUUUAAUAUUUUAUUAUUAUUAAAAAAUAAUUAUUUUAUUUAUUUUUCAAAAAUAAAAUAAUUAUUUUUUAUUUUUUAAAAAUAAAAUAACUAUUUUUUUCAUUUUUUAAAUUCGAACUUAAUAUUUUGAGCUCGACUCUAAGUUAAAGACUCGAUUUGGCUUAUUUGCACCCAUCGUCCAGAGGAGCAGGGUGCUCUUAGCUAAGUCUGAGUUCUCCACGAAUAGCACAUCAUGCAAGUUGUUGCAACCACCGUCCAUAUAAGAAACUGACACUUCCAAUGGGUUGCAGUUCCUAACCACGAGUGGGCAACUAAUGCAACAGAAGAAAAGUCUGUCGCCGUUCCAGUUAACUCAAGCUGCAAACCAGUCAUUUCAAGUAAACAUUCAAAAACAAAUAAGCCUUGCAAUGUAGAAUAGCGAGAUUCAUGUUCUAACACUUUUUUUUGGAAGCUAAAAUGCAUUAAUACUACAACUCUAGAUGUCAAUACGCGGAGAAGGAAGCAGUCGAUAAUUGGCGUUCCUUAUGCUUGGGUCUCCUAUAUACCACCUAAGCUUUCAACCAAAAUUGAAAAACUGGAAUCUGGUCAAGCUGCCAUCGCAUCUGAUGCAGUGUCUUUUGAUUUGCUUUUGCGGCUCCAUAUGGGCGUGGUCUCAAUAAGCUGAUGAGGCACGAGCCUUUUUUCUCGUUUAGUAAGUUUGCGGAAAUUGUGAACUCUCAACUUGGCUAUCUCAGCUUCCUCCUCCGGGGUAAUCUCUCUCAGAACCACCGUCAGUCUACAUUCUGGUCUUACUUUUACCCGCAUCUUCCUUUAGCAUGGUAGGAUACCCUUUUUCGAUAGAAUCCCUUUCCCACAAAUGCCUCAGCUGCAGGGAAGUAUGAUACCACAAAUAAAAAAGGGUACACAUAAGAACUGCACAGAGACAAUUUAUGACCAAAGGUUACCAACAAGUAGACGAUCCGGAUCUAAUCCAUGAUUAUGAGUUGCAUUUGCCCGUGCUGAAUGAAUGACCUGGGAAGCAACACUGUGAUAUCAGCAGUGGUACAGCAAUAUGUUACUUUUCCAGAAGUAAUGGGCAUAUCUUUCAAGGACCAUCGAUUGUAUUCUUAAGAAGUAUUAAUGUUUCCAAAUACAAAGGAACCCCUUUGAACUGCCAGUGCAUGUUUUUAUUUAGACCUUGCAGCUUUCAGAGUUCUUACCAGAGAAGUGAAGCAUCGGAUUUUCGGAUGCAAGACACCCUCAACAUAAUAGGGCCAAAAGAAUAUGUAAUCAGAAUAGAUGCAACUGACUUCCAACCACUCUACCUCAAACACUAACAGAAACAUAACCUGUCUCUGGCAUAACAGAGAACAGACCACAGAAAUUUCAUGGAAAAUUAUUUGCUACAAAUCAUCCAAACAAUGCUGACAGUUAAAUCACCUGAUAGACUGUCUUAGAAGCUCUCUUAACUGUUACUUGUAGCUGCAAUAAAGCAUCUUCAACACGCAUACCACGGACUAAUGCAGCAACCAAGUUCACCUUCUUAGGACUCUGAAACCAGUAACUACGUCAAUGUUAGAAAAAGAGCAGUCAAUAUUUAAAUCAGAUCUAGAGAAGCAAAAAGGAAUCAAAGCCCCAUUAAGGUUGCAACAAAUAAUACCGAUGACCAUUUUGUUCCAACGCUAUAGGAGAACACAGUAGGAUGUUCUUUUUCUCAUAUUUAUUGUGUGGAAAAAAGCCAGAAUUUCCAACAGAUUACUUAGAAUGACUACUUAUGAGGACCAAAACUAAUAUUACAGAAAGUACUCAAGAAAUCCUAAUUCUCUCAAAGAAAGAGACAAAGGGAAAAAAAUAUCUCGCAAAGAACAAUGCCUUCUGACUUGAGUCAGCAAGAAGUCUGGAAUAAAGGAAAACAAGAGUAAAAUGAGAAAGUAACAGAAAACAAUCCUAAAAAGAACAAACAGAUAAAAUGGAGAUUACAUAGAAUAAACAGAUGAAUUGUUCAAAUAUCUACCAGCUCAACUGCAUGUUCUCCUUCGUUUCCCCCCACCCCCAAUAAAUAGAAUUUCAAUGAAUUGGGAGUUCAAAUGAUUUGUUAGAAUACAGCAUUCAGGGACUUGUUGCAGCAACCAUAGACUUAGACUAUUAUCUAAAUGUGUAAAAGAAAAUCUGUAAACCCAUAUUGUUAACACAUUUGACGGGCCAACUUACUACCAUCCAACUUUCUCACACUUAAAAUACAGUGCCUAUCAUACCUGUUUUAUUCCCUUUAAAACUGCUUGUACUUUUGAAGGUUUAGAAACUGGUUUCUCAGGUUCAGCCUUUCCACCGCUCAAAGCUAAAGCUGGAGUUAGUGGAGAUGAAAUUGGAGUUUCAUUAGAAGAGUCUGCAAGUAGCUUUCUCGUACUGGUAAAUCCCUGCCACGUUAAAAGAUUGCAACAUCUCAAAGAUCAACGAUUAAUGCAUGGAAGAUUUGAAGCCACUCAACUAAAUGGUUAAGCACCAAGAAGCAUAAAGAUAUAACACAGUCAGUAUGAAAAUUUCAAUCCAAAGUAGAUCAACACUGUAGCGAAACACAUUAUGAUGGAAGGAAAUUCUGCCCAACCAGCUUAGGAGAAGUCUUGUCUGCCAGCAGAAAGCUUGCAGAUCAAGAUAAGGAAAUAGACUUUCUUCUUUUACGUAUAAAGGGGAAUAAAAUUCUAAUAAUUGUUGUUGUCUCAUCUUAUAAUCCUUUCUUGCCAAACAUAUUUUAAUGAAUUUAUUUUGCUUGUCUUUAGUUUCUCAUUCUUCAGUGACCUGACUAAAAAAAUAGCAACUAGAUGACAGAUUACAAUCCAAACACCGACACAUUCUUCAUCAAAGGAGAAAAAGCAGUUACCAAUUGCUGGACAUAGUGAUAUAAAGGUCUUGUUGCGCAAUGAAAAUGCGAACUCCACAGUAUGUUUCUAUGAGCCGCCUCACCUGCUAAAAGCUUUUUCUCUCAGUCAUACAAUUUGAAAGACAUAUAAAGACUACUCUGACAGUAAAUUUUACAACAUAUUGUGAUAAUCUGAUACCCAACAUCUUAGUCUUGGAACAGAGAGGAGAUGCAUUACAUUUUUUGGGAAAAAAAAGGGGAAUUUUUCAGCAUUGCCAGCCAAAAAAAAGCCUUGUACUACUAUUUAUGCUCAAAGUCAAUGCAUCUAUCAGUAUCAGGUUUCCACAAGAAACUAAAUAGAACUACCAAGUCCUGGGGCAGCCUUUGAAUGAUAAAAUGAAUAUAAAGGAGAAAGGCGGCUCUGAUCAAGUCUCCUCCCAGCUUGACGCAAUAAGGACUGCAAAUGGCGCUGCCAACCCACCAUGCUUUAGCUUAAAAAACUCAGUAAUAAUGACAAUUUCACCUGAAUAAAACCAAGAUAUUCGUCAGGUAAAAAAAGAAGUAAUCAAGAAUCCAGAGAGGAUAGCAGUCGGCAUCCGUAUACACUUAAUGGAGUCCAAGUGUCCACUUGGAACACUUUGGACGAAACUCCAAUUUGAAACAGUACGAACUAUUUCCUCCCAAAAAAAAUUAAAAAUCAUAAAUGGGUCUUCAAAUAUAAGUUCAGAAAAAAAUGUUGGACUAAAGUACGAAACUUUCGCAUUGGCAUUUCAUCGAAUAUAUUUCGUGCAGAAAAUUAACACAAAUCAGCAGCAAUUUUCCGCAUACAGAUAGUUUACAUUUCGUCGGAACUAAAAGUAAGUAUUAUUUUUUGACGAUGGUCAGCUGUUGAAAUUCGCUGUUCUGUAAAACCCUAUCUAACCCAUUACCCAGCUGUUGGGAAAAAAAACAGCAACAAAUGAUCGAUAAAUCUUCAAUAUUCGCCAAAAUUUUCCUAGAGCAAAAAAUGCAGUCUAGUGAAGAAAGACAGUGAGGAAAAGCAAGUAAGCGAGAAAUGGCAGUGAAGGAAAAGGAGGCGUACCAAAGAGAGACCUUAGAGAGGUGAGCAGAGCUGCAAUCCUGAGGACGAUCACGAAAACAUUCGUUAUACAAUUUUUCACCCGCAAAAUGUCGACUGUGUGUUGCUGGGCUUUGUUUGGGCCUGCUGUCACUGUAAUUCUUCUUCGUUUUCUUUUUCUUUUUCUUUGGCUCAAUUCGUUUGACUGCAGGGAAAAAUAAAGUGACGUGAGGUGAGGAAAAAGAAAGUUAACUUUUUCACAUGUGUUUGGUUAACAAGAAAAUGAUGCAAGAGAAUACAAAUUAUUUUGUUUGUUUAGUUGGAAAGUCAUUGACAGAAUUGGAUAGUGUGUUCAUCAGUAUAAAAUAUUCAAUAUUAAAUCUCUUCAUUUUUUGCAUUAUAUAUUUAUAGAAAAACAUGUAGUAGAUAUAACAUUUUGCAUAUUGGAAGAAUUGUUUACUUCUAAAUUAAUCUCAUUCUUUAAUAAUAAGGUUGUAUGUGUGUACAAGUUAUUUCACAGAUAUGUAGACAUAAAAAGGAGCAUAGAAUGUCUAGCUAUAAGCCGGUUUUUUUAAAUGAUAAAUUCUAAGAUAUUCUAACUUAGGUAGAAGUUUAGAAUGGAAGAAGCUUAUUAGAAAGAAAGGAGUUGUACAAAAAAUUAAUUAGUUGAAACUUUCCUAUGACUCGCUUUCCUAUCAAUUUAUCAAGAAAAAUUUUUACAGGAAAAUCAACUGUUAUAAGAAAUUUUUAUGUGGUGAGUUCCAUAAGUUUCCUAAAAAUAAACAUUCAAAAAUUAUAGAAAAGUUACUUUCCUUGACUUUUCUUUCCUUUUUUCUAGCGACAAAAACUAUAUUAGUUUUCAUUUUGUGGGGCCUUGACUUGAGUUGUGGGUGAGUUUAUAUAAAUACAAAGCAAAUGAAUACGAAAAUUAUGUGGUAUCUUGAAUUUUAAGAUAGUGAGUGCUAGGUAUUUCUUGGCUUUGGAUGGGUUGAUUCAAGUAGAAACUCAUUGAAAAUUGGAGAUUCUUAAGUCUGUUGUUUGACAUAGAACAUAGGAGAGAAUUGUUAUUGUCGUGAUAAUGUUAUGGCGCAAAUCAGAAACUAAUAUAAUUCGAUAAAAUGAUGAAAAUUUUGAGAUUUCCCAAAUAAGCAUAAAGAAAUUUUAUAAAAUCGUUAUAACAACUAUAAUAUGGAGCCCUUAAAAAUAUAAAUAAAUUUUCUUUAUGUGCCACACCAAAUUUUUGACCUUUUUUUUUCCCUCUCCUGAAUAAAAGUUGGGUCAUUAGUUUUUCGAGGGCCUAGACAGAUUUCAGCAGAUGAUAGACAGGCUAAAUUGCACUGGGCCUUUGUCGGGACUCCAUCGUGACAAAUCCCACUCAUUAAGCGAACAGUGUAUUGCGUAAAUUGUAGUAGUAUUACGUUUGAAAAGAAGAAGCCCAUGAUGCUUUGUCUGAUAAACGCCACAAAAUUUUGUUGAUAUCUUUUUUCAAUAUUAUCCCUACUUUUAAUCAACUGCGUGUUUCAUUUAAAUCCAAAAUUUGAAUUUUGAGGGGUUAAGAUUGAAAAGAGAAAUUCAAAAAUUACAGUUCUUCUGUUUAUACUAAAAAAAAAAAAAUUGGUAGUGAAGGGGGAAGGAUGGAUUGGAGGGUACGGAGGAGCGAGUGUAAGCGAAAGGGCUAGAAAAACACAUAAUUAUUGAUAUAAAAAGUUGAAUUCUCAAUGUGUGACUAGAAUUUUGAGGAAGGAGUACAAUCUUUUAUUUUAAUAUUUUUUUCCUCAAAAUAAUUUCUACAAAGACGGCAAUCCAAUGUUAUUCCACCGCUUUGACCUGCGCAAGUGUGAAGAACUCUCUCCGUUGGCGAGUCGCCACGUGCAGUGGCUGAUCGAUCAUGCUCACCAACCGCUUAAAGGCGGCGCAGUGCACCGUCCAUUUCCUUCUGUUUUUAGACUUUGAAGCGCCCAAAUCUGUCCCAACUCGCUAAUCAACGCGCGUCAGCCCUCUGUAUGUCACUCUCCCAUCCGCGUCUGUUCCCUUUAGUCCAAGCCCCCAUUUGCGGUCAGCAUUUUGUUUUUGUUUUUUUGGGUAGAAGCGGUCAGCAUUUUGUAUAAGACAAAAAUUUGGGUAGACUUGACCGGAGCGAUUGUUCAAAAUUGUCAUUCCAUCUCACUAAUUUAAACGUUAAAGAUACAAUAAAGAUGUGGUAAAAUUUGACCAAACCAAGCCUGCCCAAGUGUUUAGCUUGUGUAUAAAGAGGUAAUUGCAAAAACCUCCUCUGAGAUUUAUAAUGAUUGCAGCCACUUCCAUUAAAGUUUGAAAAAUUAUAGAAACCUCACCUAAAAAAUAUUUUUUUUUCAUAAUAAAUGGUGAUGUAAUUACAAAAGUUUAAUGAAUGUCCUAUGUUGUCCUUAUUUGAUUUGCAAAACAAAUAAAUGCAUCCCCACUAGUAGGUUAUUUAUGAAACUAAGCAAGAAGUUCAUUUAAAUCAUCUAAUAAUUGAAUAUAAUGUAUUAAGUGAUAUGAAAUUAGAACUAUUGGAUAAAAGUAUUUGUUUUAAAAUGCUGAUUUCUUUUUCCUUAACAUCCGCUUGUCAUUUAGGUUUGUAGAGUUGUCAAAACUUUUUUCACAACAUCAAGAGAGGUAAACAUAAUUUUUAAGGGAGGUGGUUGUAAUUGUUAGAAAUCUCAAGAGAGGUUUAUGAAAUUAUCCCAGUAUAAACCCCUAACUUGCAAUCUAGGCCUUGUUUGGAAGCCCUUUUUUGUCAAGUUUGUCUGCUCAAGUUUUUUAAAAACUUUAAUUACAGUAUCUCGAAAAAAUUUCAAAUUUUAAACUAUACACUUAAAAAUAUUUAAAAAAACACAUUUCAAAAAUUUUUUUAAAAACUUCUACAGUACGAUACAGUAAAAUUUUAGAUAAACAUCCAACUAAUUCCCUCUAUUAUUCAAAGAAUUUUUACGGCAGGAGCCGUAUGGUACAAUCGUACACGACAACCUUGUCCCACAAUUGUUUUCUUUUUCUUUUUCUUUUCCUGGUCAAAACCCACAAUUAUUUUUUUAAGUGCGGAAAGAAUCAUGAUGAAAUGUUUCAAAGGAACUCAACAAUCAUUUCUGGAUAAAGUUUCACCCUGCUAAGGAUGGAGAAAAUGGGAUAUGUUAUUGGUUGAUACAGCAAUAAAAGUAAAAGCAAGCAUGUAUGUUAGUAAAAGAGACAUUUAUCCACUUCAGUUAUUCCAUAGUAUUUGAACGGGAAAAAAAGUAUAGGGGCUGGGCUAGGGACUACUGUGAUCUGUCUAGUUAGAGAUGAUUGCAAACAAUUGACGCAUUUACAUCAAAAGAAAAAAAAAUAAAACGCGUAUGAAAGUCAAUAAUUAAUGUGGUGUAAGAAGCAGAGAUUCCAAAAGUAAUUGUGCUUUUGUAGAACACGGGCCCAACUGCCCUCAUUUCUUUAACAAACUCCACUCCAUGCCGUGCAACAUUCAUUUUAUCGGGCUGUAUUCUAUUUUUUGCCUCUAACUUGAUAGAUUUUGGAAGAUGUGAUGAGAUUUCGCUAACACUUGACGAUGAUUCUGCUGUCCGUCUUUGAAUUCGAUGUGUUCAAGAAAAACCCAUGUUACAUAUCCUUCUAGUUGGUCUCGUAUCAGCUGAUCUUGUCUCUUUUUGCCUAAAACAUCUGUCGAGAUCUACAACCGUGCAGUGUUGUGCCACAAGUUUCUUUGUGCGUCAUGCUCUCCUGUUUCAGAACUUACUACACCAAAAACUUUACCUGAUUUUCUCGAUUCAUCAAUUGCAUGUGAGUUUGUCUUUAAUUUGGUAAUACUUCUGUCUUCAGACAUGCAUAUUUUAGCUGGUUUGGUGCUUUUCAGUAUUAUACAACUGCUUUUGAUCUUUUUAAAGAUAUAUAUUUGUUCUGGGUUGAAAGUUUUGAAAGUGUCAGCUUUUUAUUUAUCUUUUGUGGUUCUAGUUCAUGCUUAUUUUGACUAUGUUGCACUUGCGGCUGUUUGGAAUCAGGUUGUCGCUGCAACUUGAGGUUGUUGUGCACUAUGUACGUCUUUACUGCAGUUAAGAUUUGGAUAUUGUUUCCUCCCUCUCCCGGAUUAUAGAGAAUGGAGGCAAAAAGAAAAGUUUUUCCGAAAUAUUUUUAUAGAUGAUUAUACGUUCUAGGCGUUUUAUAGUUAAUCUUUCUAUUGUUCAGUCUCUUUCCUUUUUUGCCUCCUAAUUUGUGCAAAUGAGAAAGUUUGGGCGACAAAUUGCUAGCUUACUGCCAAUUCAUUUAUUUAGUAUGUUUAGGAAGUUCAGUAUAUGACAAAUGGAUGUAUUCUUUAACGCUUUAGUACUUGAGGGGCCGGUUUCUUGGUUGAUGGUAUUUCUUGAAUCAAUGAUGUGUUGAUUGUUGUAUUCAAUCGUCAUUUCUGCUUUUAUGGGGAAGAAGUAGAACAAAAGCAAAUUGUACUUCAGCAUUAUGUAGCACACAGAUUCAUAUGCUACAGUGUUCAAAUGAAAUAUUAAUAAUUCUUCGUAGCUGUAUCUGGUUUGCCUCUUUAAGGAUUGAGAAGAAUAUCACUUUUUAAUUGGUGAAGCAAAAAAUGAGGGAGGACAGUGGCAUCUCACUUUACCGAGAUAGGCUGGAUAAAACACUUUGUUCUCAUGAUCUUACUGACGUGGAGACACUUGGGACACUCGUUAAAGAUCACAUUUUACGUUCAUCAAAAGUGGAGAAUGAAGGUUGGGGUUAGAAGCUUCUCUUCCAAAAUCUUAAGUUCCAAUAGUUUAGCUCACUUUAAAGUUUAUGCAACUAAAUCAUACUAAACAUUGAUAUUCAUGCUUUGUAGAUUAUAUCGACAAUAUUGCAGAAAUGAGAACCAAAGAAGUCUCACAUUUACUGGGAAUGUUAAGGAGUGCCUCUGUGGAUGAUCAGAGGUCAAAACACAGUGACGCUUCACAUCGUGGUUGGAAAGUAUGUCUCUAUUCAUAUUGCUUGCAGUUCCUGGUUGCAGUUUUCAUUCUGGUGAAAAGAAGUGUGGUAAUGAUACUAUUACCAUAUUAUUUUGUCAGGUGAAACAGGAUACUGAAGAAUUUCGUGUUAUGUAUAGAGAAGGACCAGAAGGCACUCCAUUUCAUACCCUUCUUGUUGAAGGCUAUGUAGAUGGGCCUUUAGAUGUUUGUAAGCUACAUUAAUUUGCUGAACUGAUCUCCCUCUUCUUCCAUGUUGAAUGCACAUUUGGUUGAGUCCCACAUUCCGUGUUGAUUGCUAUUGAGAACUUUCAAAUGGUUUUUCUAUUCACUUGCAGGUCUAUGCAUCACAUGGGAGGUGGGCUUGUUUCAAAAAUGGUAAAGGUUGCUUCCAGAUAUAUGUGCCAUUGUUUAACAUUAUAAUGACACAGGAUAUGCUUAUUCAAUCUUGGGUUUGUUACCUGUUGAAAUUUGUUUAGUGUUCUGAAAAGAUCAUCUCAACUGGGUAAGCAGAGUUAGGCAGGGAUACACCUGCUUUUGCUACCACAAACUAUGAAAGGAGCAGCAUCUGAUAUGCUUGAGCUGCAGCUUGGCUGUUGCAUUUACAACAGUACAGUUGAAUUCAUUAAGCACAUUGGUAGCUCUUAGAAUAAAAGUGACGUGAUACCAUGCUCGCUGGAUUCUAAGCCAGUGACAUUUGGAGUACAACCAGACAACUUGUGUGAAUCAAAUCCUGUUCAUCCUUUUGGCUGUUGAAAUGUUUUUGAAGUAAUUACCUAAUAUUGCCUAAAGUUAUGAGCUUUAGCAUUUUCUUCCCUAACAAUUUCCUGCAGUAGGUGUGGGAAAACAAAAAUGGUUAAGGGGAAAAGGAAAAGAUGCAUCUAGUACUAUCAGAUAUUGCAAUCCAGUUAUGCUAUAUCCCUAAUCAACCUGUAAUAGCUUUAUAAUAAAUUUUUACAUUUCUAUUGGAUGUAUUUGAAAUUAUGUACAUUGGUUCUGUAAAUGACUCUUUUUUUUUGGUUUAUUGUAACCUGGUGAUGUGGUUAACAUUACUCAAAAUCUUUGUCUGCUUUCUACCGCUCCAAUUUUGAAUUUUUGUAAUAACAUCAUUCUGUUGUAUCUUUUAAACCAGGUGGCCACAGAUUAGCAUUCCAAGUUUCAAGAUCAUCUCUUCCCAGUGUCUGCAAAAGGUCAGAAUUGGUGAACAGAUAUGUUUAGUGAGGUUUGUUUUUAGGUAAAACCAAAUAUUUUCAGUUGCUCUAUAUAAGUCAUACCUUGCCUUCUGAUGUGCUCAAUUACUUGGAAGGAAGAGUGAAGAUUUCAUGGCCAUUGUUGACACGGGAGGCUCUAGUCCAUUGUUUUGAGUUUGAAUACUUACAAGAUGAUCUGGUUGUUGGGCUUUUGAAGUCGGUAGGAAUUUAACAAUACGUUAUCUUGUCUAAGUUGUGUUUUCUCCUUUGCUUUUCUGGGUCCCUUAUUCUUGAACCGUAUCUUAAACUGCACUUUUCUGUCUACUCAGAUAUCUGACUUGGAAAGCAUUGAUACAAGUACUCAUGGUUUCGCUCGGAAGGGAUACCUGAUGCACAAAAUGUUGUCCGAAUUGAUGUGGUGGGAGGUGGUGUUUUACAGAAAGUUUCUGCAAAUAGAUCUUACUUCCGGUAAGCAGUUUUGGUUAAAUAUCAUGUACCUUUAUUAUAGAAUGAUAGAUAAAAAUUUGGUACUGUUAAGUGCUGCUUGUAGAUCAAUUCUAUUCCAUGACCUGAAAGAUAAAUGACUUGUUAAUUACAUAACUGGAGGACCAUGAUAGAAAGAAUUCAGAAAUACAUAAUAGAUCUGACAUGAGGAUUUAAUUAUACAAGGAUGAAUCUAUCUAUCUGUGUAUCUACGCAUGUAUAACCAACAUGGCAACUGCAUUUUGACUACUUUUAUGAAAUUUUACUUCAAGUGUUUAAACAUGUGGAAAAAGAAUUUUGUUUAUGAAAAGAUCACAUGUAUCUUGAGUUUAUAAAAAGGCUUAUAUUUCAGUGCAUCUUGAGUUUAAUAUUCAUGCUUAACUUAUAGUUUUCUGUUUCUGGCUUACAAUUUUUUUCUUUGAUUCAAAUAUUCUAGGUCCAUAGCAACCGUGGAUGUUAAACUGGACUUUGUUCCUCCAGCACUCAUUAAUUUUGUUUCAAGGCAGAUCAUAGGAAGUGGUUUCAGGCUCUAUAAAAAGGUCAGUAAUGCUUUUCUAGAGAUAUCUUUCUUAAAACAAUUUAAGUCUCUACUUGCAUUCCUAUUGGUGACACAUGCAUUUCAUAUUUUCAUGAACAUUCAUCUAAUGGUGGCAUGAACAGGGCCUCUUAUUGUGAUUAGGAGGUCCAUAUAGUUCCUCUCUCAAAUUCUUACUAAUGUUACUCGUAGGAUCCUGAAACUGUAUGCAUAUACAUAGCUAAAGUUAAAACUUACCGCAAGCCUGGUACUUUGAGUGCAUCUCUUGCCAAGUAGGAUCUCUGGUUGAAGUAAUGGUAAAGAGAUGAAGUUGUCUGUGACCUUUUAUCCCAAAGCCAAAUCAUUUGCCCAGUGAGUUUGAAAAGGGUGCACAAGUCCUUGCAGUUUUAACUUUCAGUGUUGGGUUUGGAUCUUUUGGUGCCUAGUAUCUGCUUUCCUCAGAUGCAUAAUCCUUGGAACUCUUGCAGGAAGUUGCUUCAGUUGCAAAAGGUGAUGAAGAUUUUGCCAAUGCUUUGAAAGAUCCACUGUAUGCUCGAAUUCGUCAAGCCCUUUACUCAAAUGGUUUACCUACCAAGACUCCUCAACCAGAAAUGAAUAAUGAUACAGCCUCUCUGCUUGAAGAAGAACCAGAAGAGAGAGAAAAAUUUAGAAGUGGUCAAGAGAUGGCUCAUAACCAUGAGCUUGCAGUUAAUUCCCAAGCUGGGAUUCGUUUGUUCAAGAUAGAAAAUCACAUGGUGAGAUCGAGGAGAUUAAGGAAAAUGAUAGUGAAGAAAGUCGAUGUUUAGCUGAAUUAGAUCACAAUAGAUCUAUUUAUAUUGCCCACGAAUCAAAUUGAUUCUGGAUUUUGGACUGACGAUAAGAAAGUAGUUAUUCGCCGGGAGGUUGAACAAGCUCUGAGAAUAUUGGAUGAUGUAAUAUCUGUUUUCCAGGGAUGCAGAUCAAAUGAUGAAACCAGGAUAUUGCCCGGCAUCCCUAAAGAAGAAUCACAAAAUUUGGAAAUUAAUGAGGCCGAAGAGGCGGUCCCCUCAGAGGCUGAUCAUAUCUGCAAAAAUGUGGAGACACAUGGUCAGCCAACAGAAAAGAAAGAUCCAGAAGUGAUGAUUGCUGCAGAUGAACCCAGGAACAGCUCCAGUAGCCGGGGUAUCAGGUAUUCUUUUCAUAUCAAUAGUUUGUUUCUUACCAUUGAUUUAUCAUUUUAUUCCACUUAUUCAAUCCAUUAUCAGACAUACGCACUCCAGGGAUGCCAACCAUAAUAAAAUAGCUCCAGCAUCGCCUGUUGAGAAUGUUUCUGGUCCUCGUGAGAUUGACCAUGCUGCUUCGCUCUCAUCUCAAAAUCAGAGAACGGAAUUAACGCUUGCGGAGAAGACAAUGAAUGAAGAGAAUAUACUUAUUAGUCCUGAUGCCAAUGAUGCUGGCGGAGAUGAGGCAAGGAGUAGUAAAAACAGGAAAGUUCGGCUCUGCUGCUUCAGCUCUCUUUCUCGGCAGUCAUCAUCUUGAAAAUGAGGAGUAGAGUUGACAAAUAGUAGUGUCAAUCUGAGUACCAUUUAUCAUUAAAUUUACCAAGUAGGUAAUAAUUUUUGUAACUACCAGAUGAUAUUGAUAACGUAGUACCAGCAAUUAUGAGUUGGUUGAUAGGAGACCGGAAAUGUACCAGGAGUCGGCAGGGAUGGCAACGCAUCCCCUGCCCCUGCCCCCAUCCCGCCACCUAUUAAUUCUUCCCGCCCCACCCUCGCUUUCCAUGAAGGUAAUAAUAAAAAUUUGUUAUAUAAUUUUAUUAUAGUUAAAUUUUAGCAAAUAAUCAAAUACUAAAAUAUCAAUACAUCACCAAAUUAUUAUUCAUUAUAAUUUCAUAAUUGAAACUCAUAAAAACAAUCAAAUGAAAGUUAUUUGAAUACAAUCCAAUAUGAUAAAAUAAAUAUAAUUAAAGUAGUCAAUUUUUCAUUUUUGACAUAAAUACAAUCACUAAUUUAUUAUUAUACUUGUGUUUUUUUUUUUAGAAAAAAAAUGCUAUUGUAUUAAGUGUAAUUAGAAAUUUAGUAUAAAUGUAUUAGUAACUUUAGUAUAAUUGAUUAAUAAUUUCUAUUAAUAGACAUAUAUAAUUAUUAGUAUAAUUGAUAAUAUUAAUUAUAUUACAUAUACUAAUAAAUAUUAGAUAAUACAUAUAACUAAUAAUAUCAUUAUCAUGAGUUUGUAACCAAUUAAAUUAAAUAUUAUAUAUAUUUAUAUACAUAUAUAUAUUUAUGGAUUAAUAUCAGAAACAUCCCUUGAGAUUUCUUCUAAUCACACCUAGAACCCCUCAUGUUUUCGAAAUCACAUUUAGCACCCCUGGAAUAACAACUUUGGUAUCAUUGUUAGUCCCUCAUUAUUUUUGUUCCACCUUUACUCUCCUUGUGAACUCUAUUUAUGUAACUCACAUCCCUCCAACUUUUCUAACACUACAAAAUCGUCCUUGAGCAGUGUAACAUGUUUUGAACAUUUUGUAAUUUUAUGUAAGUUUCUUGUACAUCUUUAUAAUAGAUUGUGUUUCUAUUAUUAAGUUUUACAAAUAAUUCACAUAAAGUUACACAUUGUUUAAAAAAUGUUACAUUGAUUUGAACGGAGAUAAAAAAAAAUGUGGCUAUGGAUUCUCAUAAUAGUAACAAUAGUUUCAAUAUGUGACUGUAGUUGUAAAUAAACUUGCUCUUCCAUUUUUCUGAAAAUGAGGUAGUAUAAAUAGCUUUUUGUGCAUCCUAGUCGAAUGGGGUUUGUAAGUUAUUAAUAUUGCGAUACCCUAUUAUCAAGUAAAAAUGGAUUGCUAAUGCUAUAUACUCAUGAAUUCCCAUCAUCUUUAAACUACUUUUAGAUUAUGUUAUUAUUCACUUAGAAAUUGCAAUUUUGGCAAUGACACUAUGUCCAUUGCCAAAAGUCAACAUCACUGGAAACUCCAUAGCUAUUUAAUAUUAGGGAGUGGGAUAGGAACAAUUAUUAGAUCAACCAUCCCUAAAUCGUGUAACAUUUUUUGAACAUUUUGUAAUUUUAUGUAAAUUUCUUGUACAUCGUUACAAUAGAAGUGUGAUAAGUUGUUAGUGUACAUAUGAGUCCAAUAUGUAAUAAUCGUAUUUGUGUUGAUAAAUUUUACAAAUAGUUCAAUUAGAAUUACACUUUGUACAAAAAAUAUUACAUAAUUACAUAAUAGUUUUACAUAAUUUAGGGAAAACCUCAAGGGAGGUUUCCGAAAUUAACUCUACAUAAAUAGAGUUCAUAAGGAGGGUAAAAGUGGAACAAAAAUAAUGAGGGGCUGACAAUGAUACCAAAGUUGUCAUUCCAGGGGUGCUAAGUGUGAUUUCGAAAACAUGAGGGGUUUUAGAUGUAAUUAGAAGAAACCUCAAGGGAGGUUUCAGAUAUUAACCCUAUAUUUAUUUAUAUAUAUAUAUAUAUUUUAGCGGGUAGCGGGCCGGGGAUGGAACGGAGGUAUACUUUCCCGUCCCCUGCCCUGUUCCUAAAUGACGAGAAAAAAUUCCCACUCCCCCUCCCUGCCCGCCCUAUUAGGCCCCUACGAGCACACUAUCUCGUUAUUAGGGGUGCAAAUGAAUUGAACUGCUCGCGAGUCUCGAUCAAAGUUCGACUCGAGUUCGAUCAAUAUCAAGUUCGAACGGUUCAUUUAUAACAUGAGUCGAGUUCGAGUCAUAUGUAUGAAGGCUCCUGUGCUCGCGAAAUACCCCUACUUAACUAGGCAUACCAUCAAAAUUUCCAUCAAUAAUACGACUAGAAUCAUUGUAGUUUUCAUACUGUUUUGGUCUCUGUAACGAUGACUUCUAAAAUGGUGUUGUAAUGAUGUAUUGUAAUGAUGACUUCUAAAAUGACAAGGACCACACUUUUUUGGUCUUUGUAUUUCUCGGUGAAAAUUCUUGCAAAAGACAUCAAAAAGGCUAGUUCAUGUCUUUAAAGUUUAUGCUUACUUUCUCCAUCACUUUUUGAAAGUUCUUGCAAAAGUUUAUGCUUACUUUCAACCUGCAAUUUUGUUACUUACCAAGCCCAACGGUGUUGAAAAAAAAUUACUUUUAUUUGUUGUUUGGAAUUUAGGCACAACUACAAUAUGGCUAUGUCUCCUCAAGAUAUUUCUUUAUAACUAGUUAAAUCGGCGAGUGAUUCUGCCGGAAAUAACAAUGAGGAGGAGCUAGAAUAUUCCAUUGGAGAUGAAGAACUAGGAAGUGAAGAAGAGCAGUUAGAAGGUGAUACACAAACCCCGGCUCAAACUUUGAAUCAAGAGGUUGGUCGGUGAUGAUCUAUAUAAUUUUAGAAGGAGAUUUUAUUACAUAUACCUUGAGACUCUACAUGUUUUUAGGUAAUCUAUAUUGGUUGCUGGAGAACUUAAUCUAGAGUGAUUUUAUUGGUUGUUGGAAGACUUAAUCUAGAGUGAUUUCAAACUAUUUGUUCCUUAUUUUUGAGUUUGUUUGAGGUGUUGGACCUUUGAAUUGAAAAAUUGUGAAACAAUUAUGUAUGUGGAGUUGUGGACAUUUGUUUCUGAUUUCGUGCAUGUAUUAUUAGACAAUGAAGAACUUGUUUGUUGUUACUUUUAAUUCAUGUCUGGAAUUGUUAAAUUCAAGUUUGCAAGGCAUUAAAUAGAUUAAAACGUGCUAUUGGAGUCAGGUUAUAUAAACUGGUUAUGUUUAGUGACAGAAAUUUUCAAGCUAAAUUUGAGCCAUUUCGAGUUCUUGUUGAAUUGAGUAGAUCGAGUCUUAUCGAGUCGAACUUGAGCCAGCUUCUUACUUAGUCGAGUCGAGCUCGAGCUCGAGCUUGAAUGUAUAGUAGUCGAGCCUGACUCGAUAAGUUUAAUGUUCGACUCGACUCGAUUCGUUUGCACUCUACCCGUUAACCAUCCUAGGCUAUUCAACAGUUUUGUUUUUGAUCCAACUUCCACUGAACCGUUGAUGGUACAAGAAACAUCUACAAACAUGUACGUACAAGGAUCCGUCUUCUGCUGCUAUUCUCAAAUGGAAACACCAAACCGUAGGCCAUAAACCCGUCUUGCAUGCUAAUUUAUAUCUAUAUGAAUUGCAGAAGAGAUUUUUAGCAGAGACCCUUUCAAUGACUUCCAAAUUUCUCAUUCUUUUUUUUCUAGAUUUUUAUAUUUAUUUUAAUACAUAAAAGUAGUGGGUUAUAACUAACCCUAUCACCAAUCAAAUUUAAAAUUUAAAACAUUCCCACUAUCUACUUCAUAAACGGUUUACAGUUUGUUAUUUAUACUUUAAAUCCUUUUUACUCCUUAAUUAAAGACAAAUGUUCAUUUAUAUGCUAUUUUAAUACAAUGUUAUAUUUUUAUAAUUAAGAAAUAUUUGUCACCACAUUAACUCUAUAACCACCUCUACAAAUGAGUUUUGCAAAUUACAAUCAUGAUUUAAAAAUAUCACAAAUGUGCAAUUAAAUAUAAAUUUGAGAGGGUAAAGUGCUGCUAAAUAUAAAAUUAAGGAUUUUACUAUAUAUAAGCCCUAAAAAAUCCCAAGAACGUAACAAGUAGUGGGUUAUAGAUUUUUGUAUUUAUUUUAAUAGAUAAAAAGUAGUGGGUUAUAACCAACCCUAUCACCAGUCAAAUUUAAAAUUUAAAACUUUCGCAUAAUCUAUUUCAUAAACCGUUUAUAGUUUGUUACUUAUAUUUUAAAUCUUUUUUACUCCUUAAUUAAAGAAAAAUGUUCAUUCACAUACUAUUUUAAUAUAAUUUUAAUUCGCAAGCAUACAACAUGAUCAAAAAACAACAGAACCAAUUAGGAUUAGAUUUUGACUCAAAAAAAAUUAGGUCUAUAUGGCACUGGCACGUUGCCGUAACUUACGAUGCCAAUUAGGACUAUUUAGUGUUUUUUUUUUGUAAGGAGUUAGGAUACUAUAAAGUUUAUUUAGACAAACUUUGACUCAUCGGUGAUUUGAGUAUCAAAUUAUUGAAUAUACUACAAAUCUUAUAAUAUCAGUCUGCUAUAAAAAAAAUAAUAAUUUACUAGCAUGUGGUAUUUGCGUACGAAAUUUCAGAGGUAAAUCAAAUGCUUUUACUUAUACUUUAUAUAAUUUGAAUAGUAUUUUAACGAAUAUAACCGUACUAUGCAGGAUCAUCACUUUGUACAAUUGGAGUUAGCAAAUUGUAUAUCAAUUACAAUUUAAAUUUUGCUCGAUACCUGCGCAGUUUGUGAGUUCUAUCAGUAACACUACAUCAAACUUUUAAUAAUGUUAUUUCAUACUCUUAUCAACGUGUAUUUCAAAAAAUUGUAGGUUUGAAAAUGAUACAUGUGCUCAAAAGUUAGUUACGUGGUUGAAAUCAAGCAAUUUUAUAACAUCACAAGCAUUGUUGAUAGCAAAUUCAAAGAGAAUAUAAAUAUCCGAAUAUACAAUCAUGCCUACGGUAAACUUACUCUAUUUAAUUUAAUUACUGCACAAAUUUUUUAAAUUUGUAAUCAUAACCUAUACCUUCUUUCAUUCUUAUUAGAUUAAAUAUUUUCGAAUACUUAGUUACAUACAAAGCAUUAACAUAGAAAACAUGUUCUAUGAGUUAUGCAAAAAUUGUGGAUAACUAUAUGAAGGUCGUUUUUCAAAAACAUUGUGUAUGCAUUGUAAUGAUGUGGUCGACACUGUUGUUAGGUAAUUAAUUUCAUGUAUCUUUAAUUUCAACAAAUUUUUUUGUGUUGUAUAUAACAUUUUAUUUGUCAAAUAUGUAUAAUGUUAAAAUACAAAUCAAAGAUUCCAGUGGUAACAUGCAUCUUAAUCUACAAGACAGACAUGCACGAUUCAUAUUUGAUUGUAAUGUUUCUUAUAUCAGAGAAUUACAAAGGAAAGUAGAAUUUCUUGAUAUAUGUUUAUUUUUUAUAAUACUAUUUAUAAACUAUGUAAAAAAAUACAUUAAUUUUGAAUUUCGCGCGUACUUAAUUCUUAAGACAAUGAUAAUAGGUUGUUCAACCAACGAAUCAAUUCUUGCAAAUAUCGUGCAUUUUCAUUUGUAAUACGCAUUUCACAAAAUUCAACAGAAUUAAUUAAAUAACCAAUUUUGGCUUUCAUACUAAAAGUUGAUUGUUGGGAAGAGUGUUCGCACCUUCAUGCAAGAUUAUCAAAUCGAAUGCAUAAUAUUUGUAAAUAUUUAUUUUAACAACAUUUAAUUACAUUCAUUUUUAUUUAUAUAUCAUUCAUUUUUUAAUAUAAAUUUCUAUUAUUUUUUCAAGAUCUAUCUUUCGAAAAAAGUAAUUUUUGAAUAAUAUACACAUUUUAUCAUAUUUCAAACUAUUGUUACACAAAUAUUAUAUUUUAAUUAUGUUGGUACAAUUUUUUAAUUUUUUUUAAUUUAUCUUUUUUAAUUUUUUAAUAAUAUCAGCACCGCACGUAGCACGGGUAUUUAAACUAGUCCUGUGAAUUACUGAAGCCGUGAAAUAUAACCACGAGGAAUCCUAUCACAAGAGUAGGAAGUUUCUUCCCCUACUCUACUGCCCUUGCCCAGCGCAAACAGUAAAUACACAUAACAACUUACUCUCUCUGUCAUCACUUCUUUUUCUAUUUUUGGGUGUAGAUUAGAAGUGCAAAAUGUGGAAGAAGCUCCAUUCUCUAACUCCACUCUCGACCAACCUCCUCCACCGCGGCAGCGCUUCAGUACCUUAUCCUUCCGCCACCACCGCCGACCCCUUUUCUUCCGAAAUCACUUCCAAACGAAGUUCCCUCUCGCAAUUUUCCUCUCUUCUGUUAUCUCCUCCCAAUUCCAAAUAGAAGGAAAUUAUUGUUAUUCUUUUCAUUCUCCUCCGUCUUCUAGAGUUUUCCAAACCCCGAGACUCCAUUCAGGGCUCCACGGUCUAAACUCCGGUUUCUUCUGCUCGAUUGCAAGUUCUCCUGCGGCCAAUUCAAAGUGCUGGAAUUGUAAUGCUGUUGCAUCCAGUGCGGUGCCGUUUUUGGUUUGUCACGGUUGUCGCAGCGUCCAACCUCCUGAUCCUUCCAUUGAUUACUUCCAGAUUUUAGGAGUGUGAGUUUUUUAUCGCCUCUCUUUUAAAACUUAAUUUACAGCCCUAAUUUUCUUGCGUAUUCGGGGUGCUUGUGAUGUUUUUUUUAGUUCCCUAUUAUUUUCCCAUAUGAAUGAGACGUUCCGUGCUAGACAUCCUCCAGUUUUAUUCUAGAACGAUUCUAUCUCUAAAGCGUCACUAAAUUUCCUGUCCAAUAAUUUCUAGGGAGAAGAAAUACGAUGUCAAGGUCGAAAAUUUGGAGGGCAAGUACAAAGAUUGGCAGAAGAAGCUGCAUCCUGAUCUUGUUCACACCAAAUCCAAGGUUCUUCCUUGGGAAACUAUAUGUGUGUUUGGAUUGUAAGUUAUUUGAGAUAUUUUUCCUGUAAUAUUUUUUGUGACGUGAUGGAUGUGAGAUAAAAAGGUAAUUGGAAAGAUAAAAAAUUGUAUUGGAAAUUGUAAUGGUGACAUAAGCAAAUAUAUUUGGACAAAUAACUUACAAUCCAAACACAAAUAUUUUGCUUCAGUCCCUUUUAGUUUUAUAUUCAUAUGCUUACUGUCGAGUUUUUUCCUCUCAUAUUAAUUGGUUUUUUGUUACUGUCUCUGUUAGAAAGAACGGGACUUUGGCUGCUGAACAAUCUGCGCGGGUGACUGAUGCUUAUCGGACCCUCAGCGACACAUUGUCAAGAGCUGUGUACCUUGUAGGUUAUGUUUUUAGACGAUGCACUAUGAACUGUUUCAAUAUUUUUUGAUGAUAGAAAUAGCUCUUCUUCUGAGACUUUUUGCAGGUUUUAUUGCUUUCUUGUGAAAGAGUGUCAUUGUAGAAGCAAAGAAUAGUGCGUCCUUUACACAAAUUUCUGAUUAUGAAUUACCCAAAUUCAUGGAAAUUGCUCACAAUAGUCUUUCACCUUCUACAAUUUUAGUGGCUCAAACUAGCAAGUUUAAUGAUUGAUAAUGCAUCAAACUAGCACAAGUCCUUUUGAUGGCUGAAAAUCAGUUAGAUGAGGCUAGCUUAUCACUUUGGUGUCAUAACUACACAACAAAUGGUAAGUUAAGAAGCUUUGCCUCUCCUGGUUAACCAAAUGAUACAGGGAAAUGGACCUUCAAAAGGAACAUCAAAAGGUUGAAUAUGUUCAAGAGGUUUCCUUCUUAGUAUGUGCUAAUAUGUUGUACUACUACUGUUGGAUUGUAUAAUUGUUUAAGUAUGUAAACAUAAAGGUUCAGCAUUUGUUGUAAUAAGGCAUGAAAACCUGUUGAUGUUUUAAUUUUUAAUACAACAGUUGUGUGUUUUAUUUUUUGACUAUGUUAAUAAAAGAUUCCCACAUUGUUAGCCAUACAUGUCUCUGCACUGACAUCGCACUACUAUUUGUUGUAUACUACUAGUAUCAUUGUGAUUGCUUUUCAAUUUCUUUCCCAACUUUGUAGCUGAAGCUUGAAGGUCUGGAGGUGGACGAAGAGGGCAGGAUUUCAGACCCUGAGUUACUUGCUGAGGUAAUCUCUCUUAAACGUAAUAAUUCUUGUAUUUAACAUGUUUUUUGCUUUGUUUGCCUGUUUCUCCAAUUACCUAGACAUUGCAUAGGUUACAAUUAGCUUCAAAUGCAUAUAGAAUGAUGUGAGGCUUUACAAAAGUUCCAUUAUAAAGUUAAGGUUAAGUUGCAUUAAUGGAUAGUUAGAAUCCUGCUAACUCAUAUGAUAUCUUGAGACUGCCUUGAUAUUUUGGCAGAUUGAGCUUUCCUAGACUACUUAAACCAAUGUGUCACUGCUUCCUCUCGAAGAAUUAGUGAUUGACAUUCUCAACUGAUGAAUCUUGCUAAAAAUAGAUUUUGAAACGCAUUUCAUUUUACAGCAAUUUGUAUAUUGAAUCUCAUUGCAUGAGAUUAAACAGAGAAUAAUGCACAUAGCUCGAACUGUACUAACCCUUUUCAUGAUUCGUGUAGAUAAAGUAAAAUUUUUUAUGGAAGAUUCUAAAAAUUGUUGUCAUUCUUUUUCAAGAUAAGCAUGCUUAUCUGAUAAAGUUUAUAAGUGAACCAAUCGCCUGCAUAAAGUGGGAAAGGCCUGAAAUUCAUUAAGUUUGUGAUAUCGUAAGUGACAAUCAGCUUAAACUGCAGAUCAUGGAAAUUAGAGAAGCUGUUGAAGAAGCAGCAGAGACACAGGCAUUAAAUCACAUUCAGGCACAGGUAUGAACUGGGUUUUGUAAUUUGGUGAUCUUGUGCAGGAAACUCAUGUUGGGCCUCCAGCAAAGAGCAUUGAAUUAUAAAAAAGGGAAAAUACGCAUUUUCACAGUGUCCUAGAAACUAAAAUCAGUUUAGGUUCCUAGAAGAAGAAGUCAAGGAAAAACAGUUAAUUCUUGAGCUCAAAUUUGAAUUUAGAACCAAAUUAACCAAUAUUAUCCCCUUAAAUAAGGUUUUCAAAGUAAACCUUAAAAUCUUGUCCGAUUACCUUCAUAAUCCAUGCCAAGAAACUUCUAAUAUGGAAUGAACUCUUAUGUAGUGCAUGAAAUAGAGGGAGGUAGAAAGAUCGUUCUUUGAAUGGUUGCAUACGUUUUCUCAUGUUCUAGGAUAGGCUUUGAGUAGUUUAUCAUGUGAAAAGAUAUAAAAGUGCCUCCAUAAAAGGUAAACCAACACCAAAUAGAUAUCGGUAUCAUUGAUGAUUUUUAUCAAGGCAGAAGUGCAGAUCUAAGUGCUAUUGACAUCUCGACCUUUGACUUGUGCAAUCUAUGUUUCUAUCUAUGCAGAUAUGGAAAAAACUGGAACAUUGGUCUAAGUCCUUCGCAGAUGCAUUUCAGAGUAGAAAGUAUGAAGAAGCGAUAUCUUCAAUCCAGAGAAUGACAUACUACAAGCGGGCAAAUGAGGAGAUCAUUAAGAAGCUCUAACACAGGCAUACAGCUCUUUGGUCUUCUGAAUUGCUUUGGUGUUUCCUGCCAACUUUGAAAUUUAGGAAUAUAUGACAAACUGUGAUUAUUUUUUUUUCUUUUUAAUUUCAAUAUGAGUAGCUAUGUCAAGAUAGUCAUGUUUUUGCAAAGGUACUCAGUCAUACUAGACCAGACCAAGAAUUUCUGAUAUCCCUGAUGCAAGAAAGGAGUAUACUUUUCUAGAAGGUAAGUUUAAAUUUCAUGCUUCAUAUUAUAAUCAACAAUUACAGUAAGUUUGUGCUUAAGAAGUCUCCUUAUUUAGUAUUUUCCCGGUGGAUCUUUUUUUCCCUGUAUUUUUGUUUGUGCUAUGUGUGUUGUAGUUGUUGUCUUAAUUUUUUUUUUUUCCGGUUUUGGGUUGGGGGGAGGGUUGGGGGUGGUGUAGGAGUGCCUUUUUAUUGGGUCAGAUGUAUUUUUGUAGUGUCUUUGUGAGUUCAGUAUUUGCUACUCUUAUGUCAAUCUCUGGUUCACUUGUCGCGUUUAUUCAUUUCAGAAGGAUCUUUGCAUGCAUUCUUUUUUCCUCAAAUUUCUGCUUCUCUGUCCUUGUGUUUGCAGGUGUCAUUACUGCGGUGAUGCUUCGACUAAACGCUCAACCAAAUGACUUGGUGGCCAGAAACACAAUCGAGUGGCUUGUGUGAUCAAAUUUUGUGAAGAGACCACAUUUAUCUAUUAGUCUGGGACUUGACGACCGCCAGCUUUCUGCUGCUGCUGCUGUAUAAACCUUAUUGCCUGAUUGUGUCAUAGAUGAACGACAUGUCACUAAGAGUUGCUUCCAGAUUGUAGUAAGAAAAGGCUUUGUACAUUAUAUUCCUGGUGGACUAAACUGGAUUGGCAGAAUAAAUCUCUUAAGCUUUGCUCUUUUAACAACAAAAGACGAAAUUUGGUGAAGCCUGUCGUCGAAAACAAUCAGGGACAAUUUUAAUCUUCACAAUUGUCCAAUUAAUAUUGUAUUACUAAGGAACAUAUGCGAAGUGACUUAAAUGAAAGGAAGUAGCGUCAUGUUACCCUUUUAUACCCGAUUUUUUUUUUUUCGGCUUGUUUUUUAAAUUGGAAAAAAAAAAGGGCUGGACAAAUAAGGAACCGCCAACCAAAAAAAAAAAAAAGGAACAACAUAUGUCAACCUACGACGACAGUCUUCUUCGACAUUUUUUUUUUUUUUUUUACCAAACGAUAAAAGAUUUUCUUCGACGUUUAAGAUCCAACUUUUUCCGCAGUACAAUUUGGGCCAAAUCGUGUUUGCCUUCUCUGUUCAGCCCAAAGAGAACCGCUCGAAAAUUUAUCGUACUAGGGAUUAUCCCAGCAUCCAACAUGUCAUCAAAAAGUGGAAGAGCUUCUUCAGACCUACCUGCUCUGCAAAGACAAGCAAUGAACAUUGAGUAAGCCUUGAAAUCAGGGAAUGGUCCAUUUUGCUUCAUAUGACGGAAAAUCUCCCAGGCAUCUGUAAUCUUUCCCAUCUCCAUAUAUCCACGUACAAUUGCAGAAUAUGUAACAGUUGUUGGUUGGCAUCCCAUCUCUUUCAUCUCCUUAAAGGUUUCUAGAGCUUUAGAUACCUGCUUCUGCCUAAAGAACUGGACCAUUAGUGAUGUAUAAACAUGGACAGUAGGGUGGAUGCCAACCUGCUUCAUCGAUUCCACCCUUGACAUUGCCUCUUCAACUCGUCCUCUUCGUAGUAGUCCGUUUACUAGGCUACCACACGUGUACUGUUCUAGAGUAUGCUUCUCGCUACCAGAUUCAUCAAUUAACUCUAAAGCCUCUUCCAGCCUUCCUCCACGACAAAGGGCCCUUAUAUACAGCGAUCUGGUCAAACUAACUGUAAAACCAACUUUUCGAAGAGAUUCGACACACCUCCUUGCCUCCAACAGUUUACCAACUUGACACAAACAACCAAGGUAAGAUUCUAGUAAUUCUUUAUCAGGUUGAAACCCUGCUUUAAUCAUCUCUUGAUAGAUUAAGAUUGCUUCAUCAACAUUCCUACCCUUUUCACCACAAAGAGAUAUUAUCAAGAACUUGUACGUACUUGCAUUAGGAUUACAGCUACUAGCUUUCAUCUCUCUGAAAGUAGUGAGGGCAAUGUUUGUGAGGCCCACUCGACCAUAUUGCAUUAUCAUGAUUGUCCAUGUAUCAGAUGUUAUUGAGCAGCCAUUUCUCCUCAUUUCGUGGAAGAGACUUCUCAUGUGUUUAAAAUCCUUUACUUGUCCUGAGAGUUUAAUAGCCAUGUUGUAGGCCUCAGUAUUGUGUCUAUAACCACUUUGCUUUGCAACCCAUGAGAAAAAUCGUAGUGCGGCACCACCAUGCAAGCUGCACUUUCGCAAAGUAUCCACCACAAGUUCUGGGGUGAACUGUAUAGCACGUUUCUCCAAUUUGUCUUGAAGAGACCACCAAUCCUUUGAGGAUGACAAGAUUCGGUUAACUUCAUGCAAAUCAUCUUGGUUACAGGAACUUGAUGUUGACUCCACCACAUUACAAUCUAAACAUUGUUGCUCUAGUUGUUUGAAAUUUAACUUGCAUUUGAUUCUGGUUGAAUCGCUAUAUCAGCAGUAGGUGAGUCCUCUUCUUUGGAAAAAAUGUUGCAGCUUUUCUGCAUCUGCUUUAUAUUUUUUACCUUAUCCAUCUCUCCCUUUUUCAUCAUAUAAAGUAUAACAAACUGAAAGAUAUCAUUUCCUAUUUUAACCUGUGAAGCCUGCAUCUGGAUCAACAUAUUGACAAUCUCAUCUGUUGCAGAAACUUUACAAAGCUCCUUGAUGAAUAUUGAGUAAGACCUUUUAGUCAGUCUGACCCCUUUCUCCAACAUAUUGUUAAGCACUUGCCACGCAUCAGAAAUGCGGUUUUGACUAAUAUACCCUGCAACUAUUGCUGUUGUUGCUACGCUAUCCAAUUGUACACCAACAUCCAAGCAUGCGACUCUUUGAGUGAUGUUGUAAAAUACGAUAUUAACUUGAGUAGCAUCAUUAUUGUGUUCUUCAUGAUCCAUAUCCAUGCGAGGUACUUGAUCAUUACUUCUUCUAUUAUUGUUGCGGGUAAAAUGUUGGACUCAAGAGAUAUAUACUACUGACCAUUUCAAAUCUGCCUGAUGUUAAUGAAACUGAAACCAUUGGCUUCACAACUACUAAAUUAUCUUUAGGAUCAGAUUCAAAGGCAAAGAAAGCUCUUUGCUUUGUCAACCGGUUAUGGAAGCCGCCCUAUAUUCAUGGUCCUUUCUUGCAUGACCGAGCAAAUCAUUUUUGCAUGGUUUAAUCAAAACUUUCUUCAGACUUUUUCAGCUGGGCACUCGGAUUUGAGAUAGAGUAGGCUGGAAUGCAAUCACAGCCAGCACUCCUCACUCUUCUCGCCCCAAAAAAAUAAAUAAAUAAAGAAAUAAAUAAAAAAGAGGAAGGCAAUAACGAUGUGCUAACGAACUUCAAGAAAACAAACCUAUUUAGGUAGCAUUGUAAAGUAUGCAUGCUGGCGACAAAUGUUCAAAGGUAGAAAAAAGAUUACUCACCAUUCAACUUCACUUUUCCUUUAUUCAGGUCAAAGAGCGAAAAAAGUUGCUAGUUAUUGAUUUAUCACUUUACGUUCCUUUUCGGCUUUUUACGGCAAACGGGGUAACACUUAAAACAGUUGUGUUUCUGUUAAUUGACGUCAUUGUUAUAAUUUAAUUUUUAACAUAAAUUCAUAUAACUUUGUUUUAAUUGUAAUUUUUUAUACUAAUUUAAUUCUAUGAGUGAACAAAUUCAAAUUUGCAUUUGCCCCAGAGUUAAUUUACAUUAUCUGUUACAUUAUGAGAUAUGCAUCACCGGCAUAACUAACUGGACAAUGAUUCAAGAAACAAAAUAGCAGUCAGUUUAAUUUUGGGCAUGCGAAGAUUGAGAGACGCAUGACCCAGCCAGUAACAAGAUUGGCCUGAUCCAAAGCAUAGACAAGUUUGGGAAUGCAAGUGCAACUCAUCCCUACUAUAGGGCCUAGGGUUCUAAGCAAGCAGUAAAACAACAUACUACAAGUUUUCGGUACCCUGUCCCUUGACUCCUCUUCCGGUCAAGGGACAGUUCUGAAGCACUACCCUCCAGGCCCAUGUGCUGCACACAAGUGUAAUUCUCUGCGAACAAGUGUCGAGUGGUGACAGAAUUUUAAUCGAUCGCAUGGAGAUCCAUAUCCUCGUAAUAAAAUUCUUUGGAGAAACGAUGAGAUGACGAUGAGUAUACCUGACAAUUGUGUGGGUUGAACGUGUUUUAGGCGGGUUAAUAUUGAAUUUUCAGUUAAAUGGGUUAUACUUAACCCGUUCAAUUUUAGAUUGCGCUAAUUUUAGGUUGGGUCAUCUCAAACCCAUGACCUAAAUAUGACCCAAUAUAUUAAUCAAUAGAUUUUGAUACAUAAAUUAUCUCAAAUACAUUUUUAUAUAGAAAAAAAAUUCACACACAUUUUCACACACUAAAAUACUUUCACAUAUACAAACACACACUCACUUUUUAAAUUCUUUAGAAAUACAUUAUUUUUAUACGCUAAAAUACACACCAACAUACUUCCACAAUCACGCCUAAAUUAAACUGAAAUUUUGAUGAGAGGGAUACAAUUCUCAAUCAAUUAGUUCAAAUAUUACUAUUCAAUUCGUUUGAAAAGUUUUAAUGAAAGCACAAUUUGUGAAGUUGUCCAAAAACAAUAUGAAGCAUGCCAACGGAGUUUACAAGAUCUAGCACAAUAUGCUCAACCGCUGAUCUGGAUAGGUUUCUAUAUUACAAUUGCAUUUCUGAUAUGCUUUUUGGCGGUGGUGGCCGAUAUUUUCCAUGAUUUUCUAAAACAAUAUUUGUUAGUGGCAUGAUUUUCUGAAAUCUUAAACUAGCUAUAUCAUCGAUAAGAGACUUUGAAAAACAAUGGCCCACUGGAGCAAUAUAUCAAACACCAAGCGUGGUUAAAUAUAAAUUGAAGGAAAGAUGUGAAUUUGCUCAAGAGUAGAGGUGGCAAAGGAGGAGGUGGUGAUGAUUUAUUCAAGCAAAAGAACAAAAGUUAUCGUUGAAGUCGUCGGAAACAAGAGUCGUAUUUCUUGAAUUUAAUUUCUUUAUUUAUUUUUUAAAUUUAAGUUGGGUAAUGAGUGCCGCCCAACACAAAUAUCCAAACCGCCCAAAAUAUAUUUGAGUUUUUAUUAUCCAAUCCAAAAUUGACCCAAUACCCAAAUUACUCAAACCAACCUCUCAAAUUAGUGGAUGAAUUGGGUGUGUUGUUGGAUUUUGGACAUAAUUGCCAGGUCUAAUGAUGAGUAUCAUUUAGUAGCGCACCUAAAGCACUCGGUCAAAAAGGGUUGCACCAGAAAGUAGGGGCUUUGGAAGCAAAGCUUGAAAGCUUACUGCAUCAAAUCAUCAAAGAUCUCGAUUGAUUGAUCUCGGCUCACUUUUUGCUAAAAAAAAAAAAGGGAGAAUGCUUUCGAAGCAUCCUCCAAUUGGUCUCAAAAAGUUGAAGAACCUCCAUAAUUCGUCAGAACUAUUUGGUUCUUCUUUCUUCUCUUUACUCGUCACGAAAUGCCAAUUAUAGUAGGAUAGUGACUUUGGCUCGUGAUUCAGCUUUUUAUGAGGCUAGAUUUAAUAUCUGCAAUUAGAACACCCCUAUUCGUAUUCUGUAUUAUGCUUGAAUCAGUCGACAUACUCUGUGCCGAAGUUUAGUAUGUUCUGGUAACGAUUUGCGACUAUAUCAAGUGCUGCUAAUCAUAUCAGACAAUUUCGUGUCAACAACCACCACAUAGUUUACUGUUUUUGAUCUGGACCUACAGAAGAAUAUGCUAAGCAAGCGGUGUUAGUUCAGACCGGUGGGUGUGGAAUAGUAUCGAGUAUCCAUUGCAUGCAUGCCGAGAGAUAACCUCAUUUGGACCCAAGUUAGUGGCUCUGAAACAAGAUUGCUGUAAACAGCCACGAUAGUUUGGCCAAACAUCUUUUCUUGGGCAGACUGGUUGCUUGGUUGCUGAGCCCAGAGAAGACCAAAAUUAGCGAAAAAAAAUGUCACCAUCACACGAACAUGCAAUCCGGCGGUCGGAUUCUUCUUCUUCUUCUGGGCCAUCUACAUUCGCUGCCCCCACGAUCCAGCCAGAAAAUAAUCCUCGAGUCAAAAACAAAUGAAAAAUCGGAUGACACCGCCACCAGCUCAGCUAAGAUUAGGAAGUACGCCUACCCAUUGAUUGCGGGGUCUCGGCAUCUAAUCCUAUUAUUAAUGAUCCCAAUAAAAUAACCAUGGAGAAGAAGGAAAUAAGACAAUAAUAAGUUGGCAACAUUAUAGAACACUUGCAGAAAUUAAACAAAGUCGAAAUUAAACAAAGUCAUUUACAAAAGUAUCCGUUUGAGAGAAGGUAACUAGGUAAGAUUAAAGACAGACUACAGAGAGACCAGAACGACACGGACGCAUCAGCUGGAAAACAGCAUCGCAACAUACUAUACUCAGUUACAAGCGCAACCCAAAAAAAAGAUCAAAUGGGCACUCUUUUAACCCAUUCACCUCAAGACUAAGGGAAAAGAAAAAGGCAAAGUUAGGACUAACAUGCUUGUCUAUGCAUUUACAUUGAAGUCACUAUGCAGCAAACGUCUUUUAGGCAACUUCAAUUACUUGUUGCACAAUUGAAGCGACUUCUUCUACUGGUGGACUUACAGGGGCUGGUAACUGUAGGUCAGUGAAGUGAAAUUCAAUCUGUAAUCGAUGAUGUAGGGGCGUUGAUUUUAUCAAACCUUUCUUGAUAUCUGCCUGCAGUUCCCUAAUAGGAAUAGCAGCCAAGAAGCUCUUUAUGUACUCCUUGCACGACUCUUUGCCUCGACAUAUGACCAGUUCUUCCUCCUCUUCACUCUUCAUUGGUUCAGAAUCUUCUGUCGAACCUUCUUUUGAGCUUACCUGCUGAGAAUCUGCAUUCUUUGGUUCUGCUGCUGCAACAACUGGCAGAUCACCAACAGUUUUUUCUUGGGAUGAUUGAGCGGUAUUUGGCAACUUGUAGAUGGUUGUGUUCCUGUCAAACUUCAGUAUGUAAGCCUGGUUACAUCCUUCAUAGAGUCUCUCUCCUAGGGUGUCGAUGAUGUAGUAAGCUUCAGCUUCAACCUUAAGCACAAAGAAAUGAUCAUUCCAACUGACAAUGUAGACCUGAGGUUCACUGUCACCUGGACAUUCUAAAGCAACACGGCUGAUUUCAUCCCAGAUAUUGUCAAAUGACAUGGCACCAUGAAGAAAAUCAAAUCUUCCCUCAUCCAUCCCAUCUGGAUGAAAAAAUCCAAUAAAUGACUUUCCAGGAAUUACAGAAAGAGAACCAAUUUUUGCAUGGAGGAUAGUCUCAAGAUCAAAGUGCUUGUCAGGAAAUCGCUCUCUGUAAAUCUCAUUGUCACAAAGGUUCCUCCAUUCUAGAGAUCCUUCCCUGAUUAAACUAUCAAACUGUGAUUUAAUCGGCAUAUGAUCAUGAUUAUUUUGCAACCAAUCAGCAAUUACAGCAACAAGGGCAGUGCAUGCACUCUCUCCAGCUGCCCGCUCACUUCGCUGGUCAAUAGAAGCAAAGAACACCUGGGUAUGGAGCUUCAGAUGUCCAUCUCGGCUCAUAAUUCCUUUCUGUUCCCAAUUACCAACAGCAAAAUUGUCAUCUCCAAACUCAGAUACAGAUGAGCGAUGUGCACUUGAGUCUUCAUCUGUCUUCCGCCACUGCCAAAAUUGGCAUAAACAUGACUUAAAAUUUGAAAAUGAAAAACUCAUUAAAAUACAAAAGGAGGAUGAAUAUGGAAGGAGCUAUAAUGAAGCGAUUGAAUGGUGAAUUCUCACCACAAAAGAAAUACUAAACUUGAUGGACUUGUGCCAUUGUCCUCAAAAUGAACAUGAUUUGAAAAUCAGAGCGUGUCAACUAAAAAACUAUAUUUGUAAUGGAAAUGUACGCCAAAAACUUCAUCAAGGACAGUCAAGAAAGGUUCUAACUUUAUAAAACGUUCAAGCAAUCAUUAAAAUGCCAAAAUAUUAAUGGAGCCUGACACACUGCAUACAGAAGGCAGGACAAGUAUCUGUGGAUUCAAAGCUCUAGGAAGAAAAAUGAAAAAUAUACUUUCCACAACAAACUAUUUAAUCAUAGCUUUCUUACCCAGAAAGAGAAAGAUUCGUCUGAGCUGAGCUGCCGGCGAUCAAAGUCGAUAUCAUCUCCGCCUUCUUCUCCAUUUCCCUUCUUCAGCAAUGGCUCGCCUUUGGUUUUAGGAGAUCUGAAGCUCAGCUUCCUCUUUUUCCAAGGUAAUAUACUACGUUUCGUAUUCUGCAAGACAGAUGCCUCAGAAACAGAAGUAAUUGGAUUAUCAACAGGUGGACAGCCAACAUCAGAUUUGCGGUUGCUAUAGUAAACCCAAUCCUCAUCAACACUGUUGCUCCUAGAAUUGGAGUAAAACGACCCACCUGCAAAGUUAGCAUAAGCUAAUGUUCCAUAACUAAAUGACUUCCUAACAGUAGCGUUUUCCUUGCCAUCAUCUGAUUCUCUUUCAUCAAAUUCUUCCAGUGAAUCUGUGUCAAAUGGGUAAGCAUAAUCGCCAUCCUCACUCUUGGCCGAGCACCUGCCUUCACUUCCUUCUUCCUCACGGCAAGCCUUUUUAGCUCUCCGGGUGGACACGUACUCUGUGAAAAUUUUGACCUUUCUGAGACCAGCUUUAAGAGCAGAAAGCUCAUCUUUCUCUGGUAAGGGACUAUCUCCAGACUGUAGUGGAGAUUGAACAGGAAAACUUGUCCUCUGUGCUGACUCUACUGAAUCCUGUGCACCUCUCAGCUCCAAUAAGCUAAACAAUAUCUGCAUCAGAUAAGAGAUAAAAUCGGAUAUCAAUAACAAAUGUAAAUCGAACCAGCAUAAAGAUAAAUAUUCAAUUUGGCAGCUGGUAAAAGCUGCACAACAGAUGAUACAUACACGAAGUGAGAGCCGAGGUUCAGAUGUACAGCCAGAAAGUACCAAAGGAAUAUCGGUUUCAACUUCCUUUUCAGUCACGCUAGCAAAUUCAGCAAGGUUCAAGACUGCUGUACCAACAAGAGAUCCCCUGUUCUUUGCCCCUUGAUUUAAACCCUGGAACAGGAGAAAGUAACAGAAAAUGGUAACAAUAAAGCAUCAUAUGAGAAUCUUACUUAUCGGAAAAACAUAAAAACUUUCUCCUAUGCCACUGCCAGUGAGUGCACAUACAUGAUGCAUGAAAAAAAUAAUUUCUUUUGCAAAAAUGACGUGCUGACGUCCUUACAGAAUAAAACGUCUCCGCUUAACAUAAUUGCAUGAGAGAAGAUAUCCAGUAAGAUAAAAUAAUGGCAUUCUGACUUCGUCGGAUGAAGUAACUAAAACAUCGAGUAGCGACAAUACAAUUUAAUAACUUAUAUCUAACAUUGGCAUCCCGAAAUCCAAAAUGACUUUUUCUGAAUCUUACGCGGGGUAGCAAAACAACCAAUCUCAUUAGAGAUGUCUAAAUAUAUACAUCUAAAAGACCACCACAAGACAUGCCAAGCCUCUUGCAUUAUCAUCAAAAAAAGCAUAUAAAAACAUAAAAGCCAAUCAUAUAACACUAGCCGCCAAAGUCAUUUAACAGAUGGCAAACAAAAUAUAUAGCCAAGCGAAAAACCUAUGUAAUGACUUGCACAAGAAUAAUUAUCUUCCAUUCAAGAAUCAACAAGUAUCACAUCAAUAGUGGCAAAAGCAUCCAUAAAUGAAUAAAUAACAACUCUUCGAUGUCACACACACAGAAAACAAUUGGUUGGAGAAAUGCAAACGCUAAAACACAUUCCAAAAUCUCCCAACAUUCUGGUGGUCUAACUGCUGACCCCAAAAAAACAAAAAAUCAACACUCAUAUGGUUGGCAUUUCCUCAAAGAAUUAUACCCAUGGUUUGAAUCAAAGCAAAUUCAGUACCCAGAAGGAAGCAAAUGGUAGACAUUUCCUCCAGAGACAGACUGAAAUUCCCAUAUCUAUUCACAACCAAUAAUGGAAUAUCUGAGCGGAAGAAAAGGAAAAACUGAUAUGGUGAGUCACCAAUAAACUAGAGCGCACAUGCAGUUCUUUCCUUUUCAUUAUUCAUUCCUAUUUCCUUUACCUGUUUUCCCAAGUCAAGGCAUGAACUAAAAUAUACGCUUCCAUGAAACAACCAAAAAAAAAAAAGAACAAAAAAAGAGGAAAACUUUUUUAUUCCAAUAACCUUCUAUAAUCCAAACUAGUCAUGCAAACUGAGCAAUGAUAUCCAAGAAUGAACAUCAAACGGAAAAAGGAAAGAAAUGGAAAGAAACAAUCAUGAAAACCCUAAUUCUCCACAAAUAAACCCCAUGUAUCCAAUAACGCUGACAGAAUUUCUCCCAAAAAAAGGAACAAACUUUAACGUUCCAAAACCAAAUGAGAAACCCCACAACCACAUCAAGAUUUCCUUAACCAGAAAAUAAAGCCCAGAAAAGCCAAAAUACUGAAUCAAUUAGUUGAAUUAAGAUAAAAAGUAAUAAGAUCCCAAGUCAACAAAGUCGGAGAGAGAAAGAGAAAAAGAAAAAGAAAAUUUUUAAGUGAAAAAGAAAAAGGAAAACUCACAUUGGAGAAGACAGUAAAGGCAACCUCCCAGGGAUGAAACACAUUGUCCUUGUACCCAGAAAGAGUACAAACACUCUGAAACUCCUCGUCCCACAGCACCAAGAAGCCACCGUUUUCACCAUCUUCCUGGGUUUUGACACUCUCCUCUCUAGUACAGUUCUUCUUAACAGUGCUCCUCCUGAAAGUGCUGAGGGCGAUCUUGGGUCCCUUCCACCUGAUCUCCACCGUGAAUCCCGGUGGAGCGGCCCCACCACCUUCUUUAUCUGCAGUAGACGCAUGCACCCAAUCAUUAUUGUUGCUGCCGUUCCCCAUCACCGCCAGAGAACCCUCCAGCCUCCGUACUUUCAAUCUGACCUCGUAUUUUCUCGUCUGCAGGGGUGGCCAUGGUCGCCACCUCAUCAUCUUGACCACCAUUCUCAAAUUCUUUCCUUAAAAGAUAAGACCCAAAAGCAAAUACAGACCCUUUUUUUUGGGUUUAGGAAUUUGCCUAAAGGGGGUAUGAGAUCUGAGGAGACUACAUGGGGAGAUAAAAAUGGAAGAGAUUCAGGAAGAAUGGUUACUGCAAUUCAAUGUGUUUACUGUGUGUUCUGUGAGAGAGAGAGUGUGUGUGUGUGUGUGUGUGUAAAUGGAUGCGAACGAGAGAGAGAGGGAGAGAGAGGGAGAAAGAAGAAUAUGCCGUUAGUAUUUGCUUGCUGAGAAACAGCGAAGGGUAGAGAAAGAAAAGCAUCGGGGUUGGGGGGGGGGGGGGGGGGGGACUUAUAGACUUUAUAAACACAAAAAAAGAGAGGGGAGAAAAUUGCUGGGGCAGGAAGGUGGGGGCUCGGGGAGAAGGCCGAAGGAAGAGGUGGGGUAGUGGGUCAAUACGACUUAGCAAUAGCAUCAACAAACCCCAAAGCCACGGCUUAAGCUCAGUUAUAAGCUAACUAACGAGUGACGACUAUACGAACGUCGUGCGCUUCCGUACUAAGGAGUGGUGAAACUGAAACCUAAAAAACAACAAAUGACUCUACAGGUGAAACUACAAAGCUUCCCAGUAGUUGUGUCUGCCAUGGCUAACCACCGAAUCUGCUGUACGUAAUUAAGAGGCGUAACUAUACACUUGCUUGCCGUGGCUAAUAAGUAUAAGGUAAUAAGUAUAAAUAGAUUUUCCUAAUGAAAAGUCAGUAAACACUCGAUUCAUAUACCUAAGUUAUAACAUAUGAUUGCGCAUCUUCAUAAUAAUUGUCCUCAGAAAAAAAAAAAAAUAUAUAUAUAUAUAUAUAUAUAUAUUAACACCCUGAAUUCAUUCUUUCUCCGUAAGCACUCGAUAACUAAAUCCAUAAAUAAUUUGUUUGGACAUACCAGGUGGAUAAAUAGAGAAAUACGACAAUAAAUACCAACAGCUGUGAUUUUGCUGUGUUGUUUUGGGAAGUGUAUAUAUAUACAUAUACGCACGCUCAGCGUGUAUGGUUAGUACUUAGACAAAGGUAUGCCAAAGUUUUGUGAGUCGUGAACAAGUGUGUCUGGUGCGAGCGUGCGGUUCUGUAAAACGUAAUCCGUUUUGUUAUAUGGGCUGGCGCCUGGCGGUGGCGCGGUUAUACUUAUACACUUAUACUUAUGUCAUGGGUGAUUUUGGUGGGACCCCGAGUGCAAUAUGUUGUAGUGGAUUUAAGGGACACGGAUGAAUUUGUGGGGAUGAAACGGCGUCGGAGUCUGGCAGUUGACCUUGGUGCAUUGUGAGAUGAAUCAAGGUCAAGGAAGAGAGCGAGAGGAAAUGGCGGUUGAGUAGUUUACGGGACUUUUGAGAGGGAGAGAGAAGGGCGGAUGUUGCAUAUUUAUCCUACUUUAGUAGUAGUAUUUCUUUUCUUAUUUAUUCUCAAUUAAGUGACGUCAUUUUUUGACCUUUUCUUUCUUUUCUUGUAUUCAGCUGCUCAUUUAUUAGCAGCCGAGUGCAUUGAUUGUUUUAGGUUUGGUAUUCCCACUUGUUUUGAUUAUUUAUUUAUUUAUUUAUUUUGCUACUAUGAGAUAUGAGGAUACCUUGCUCAUUUUUAUCCUUCUUUUUUUUUUUUUUGGGUGGGGUGUUCAUUUUAUCGAUGAUAAGAAGCAAUAAAAUAUGAACUGAUUCCACUUGUUCAUUGAUAAACACUUAAUUGUGUUUUUUUAGCUGUGGGUUAUCUCUUAAUUUGUCACUUCAUCGAGUCUUUAAGAUAUGUACGGAUGUCGAAGCUCUUUAUCCUUCCCUUCGUUUGCCAACUAAUACAGUCUCUGUUUUUUGGUUGAAUUAAAUGACUACAUGAGUCAUCUUUUGGUUAAAAAAAAAAAAAAGACUACAAGAGAAAUUUAUCACCAUCACGCAUCAAUAACUCUUUAUCAUCUUUUCUACAAUUCAGAAUUUUUGUUUUACAUCUGUGUAACUGAAACAUAAAUACAACGUUAUGCACGAGGCAACAACUCUUUAUACUUCACCAUCAUCAGAUCAAACAUUUGUAUUUUAGAAGCAGUUACAAAUACUGUCACGUUAAUGAAAGACAAGAUUUGAAUUCUAAGUUUUUGGUGAUGACUAACAGCUCAAACGGCCGAUGGUUAACUCCUUUUUAGUUUUCAAAACAAAAAAUUUCCGAUCUCGCUUUUUCAAGUUAGAUCUCAAAAGCAUACAAUAGGUGUUUUUUUUUUCUUUUUCAUUUUACGGACUUGCGACUUUCCUCCCAUGGUGUUUUCUUCUCUUUUAGAUGAUCAGAAGUAUGCAAUUUUAUUUAUACACGUACGGAAAACUAAAAGAUAUAGUAGCAUAUAUAGAAGUUGCAAGCACUCAUCCUUAGAGAUCAAGCAAUUAGUACAUGCCAAUAUUUGAUUCACAUCAAUGGAAUCCGGGGUUUGAAAUGACUAUCGAAACUUGGCGAUCCAUAUUUAUCGUUCUUACUAGAAGAGCUGCGGGCAUUUUGGAAAGAAACAACAAAUGAGAGAAUUUUAUGUUACAAAAUAGCCCAAUAUGAAUUCUGAAGACACAAUUAUUUUCACAAACUGGAACUAUGGAUGUGGUUCUGAUGCGUUUCUUAAGUCAUGCGAUAUAAGAAAAGCCUAUAGAGAGUAGACGGGUAGAAUCAAAUAAAUCUUUAAACACCAGUAGUAGUUUUAACUUUCAAGCCUAAAGAAAUGUCUACUUCUUGCAAGUUGUUGUAUAUCUCCAUCUCACCGAGAUGAUCACCGUGUAGCUUUUGGUGUACUGAUUUUGCUGAGAAGUCUUCUCGUGGAUGAAAAUUAAAGCACGAUAUAUGGUCCCUGUCACCUUUUACAGUCCUUUUUUCCGCUUCUAAAUUUUAACCUUGUGCAAGUUUCACGUCUUUCUGCCUUUAUCUGAAAUGGAGAGGUAACAUUUUAUUACUCAAACUCCCCAACCACCACACCACUUCUCUGGUUGAAAGGAAGUCCACUGUUCAACUCAGUUUAUACAUUUCCCCCCUCUUUAAUAACUCAAGUUUAAUCUAAUUAAGUAUAAUUGGUGGAUAUAGACUGAGAAGAUACUAUAUGGUAGUUAAGACUUUCUAGUUGUCCCUGUUCUAGAAUCCGGGUUCUUGAAUUCUUUAAUUCCGUUCUACGAAAAAAGUUAAAAAUUCACAAUACCUGUUGCUAAAUCAAAAUCACUCGUCAAAGUAGAACGAUUCACAUAUAUAUCAUACAGAUAUAUAUAUAUAUAUAUAUAUAAGGAAAAAGAAAAAAAAAAGGAACGAUUGAUGAAUUGAAGAUGUUAGUAUUCUUCCACCAAAACAUAAGAGCCAUUUUGGUUUGCCAUCAUUCAGAUGAUUGUGAUAUAAGUUUGAAUUAAUUAAAGAGAGGGAAUAAUUAAAUUCUCCCCGUCAUUCUCCACUUCACACCCUUCAUAAUUAAAUUAAAUACUUGUAUAAUUAACAUUAUUAUGAUUGAUCUUUCCUACUACACUGAUAGUAUAUAUAUAUUAUUGUUAGCGUUUGAUGAAUGACAAAUAUGUAAAAAUUGAAUUUAAUAUGUCAUGGAUCCAAUUUACUCUUAACAUUAACCCAGUUUGAAAUUGUGAUCCCAGACUUGGAUAUGUAAGAUAUAAAUUGUAAACCACCUCUUAAAUACCCCUGGAAGCUCUCUUUCAUUGUCUUGAUGCUAUGGCUCGUAUUAUUAGUGGUCGCUUAAUUGAUCCGUUUUGGUUAAUUAUCUGUUGAGUAGUAACUUAAUAUGCAAGUGACUUUGAAAACGAACCAUUGACUUGACUUCAUGUGCAACACAUUUGCAUCAAACGCCAAUUGGUACUCCCUCCGUCCCACUUUGUUAGUCUUGUUUUCUUUUUUCGUCCGUCCCAAAUUGUAGUCCACUUUCCCAUUAAGAAAUGUAGUAAUCUUUCAAAUUGUCUAAAAUACCCUUAUUAAAUAUCUUGUUAUUAAUACAUUGUUAUUAAAUACUAACCCACUACAUUGAAUACAUUGAGUUUUUCCAAUACAUUGAAUACAUUGACUGCAUUGAUUAGCAUAUGGGUAUUUUAGAAAAUUAUUAAUCUAAAUUUAUGUUUCCAACCAAAUUAAUUACACUUUCUUAAUCUGUGUGAAAAAAAAUCAAAACUAACAAAACGGGACGGAGGGAGUAACUCAUAACCUUUUAGAUGUGAUUUGAUGCAUUAAUUAAGUCGUGGAUUUAGCAAAAACAUAAACACAAACAGUAAAAGUCCCACCUUACUGUAUAUGUGAAUAUUAAUUAGUCUCAACCUUUCCACACUUUUGACAAUUGGUUAGAUCCACAUUAUUCUGCUCAAUUACGUACUAAUGUACAAGAAAUCUUCGAUACUUCUCCUUUUGUAAGAAUUUAUAGUUGUACAAGUCGAUGUAAGUUGUUGUUGUAUAUAUAUAUAUAUUUUUUUUGUGUGUGUUUGAUGUAAUUCACACAUCAUAUUUACGAAAUGUUUGUGCAUGCUAUAUCCGUACCAGGAGCUGCACGAAUUAAUACCAUAUGUAGGACCCUUCUGGGAAAACUCGCUCAUUCUGUCUGUUCUUUUAUAUGGUUGAGAAAAUCUGCUUUAUGUACGUUUUUUCAAUUUCCAAGCUCCUGUUUAUCGCAUCGCGCCGGAGGAGAGGCAGGAAUGAUUACCGGAGGGAACGUUUCGAAAGAUUGAUGGCCAAAAUUUGAUCCUAAAAAAAUAUAAAUUUAAAUUAUAUUUUGUACAUCAUUUUUUAUAUUAAAAAAUGAGAUUCACAGAAUUUUGUUCUAUAAUUACAUGUCGUUGACAAUAAGUUACACCGUGCAUAUAUAAAAUUAUAUAUUGUGCAUUUUAUACAAAAUCGAUCCCUACUACUUUUUUUUAAAUGACUAUUCGGGCCUUAGUCCCAUGGUGCCAUAUUGGCUGGCAACCAGUGACGACUUGCACUCGUCUGAAACCGAUCCGCAUGCGCGCGUCAUUAACCGAAGAUAGCAUCAGAAGAGCAGUUCGUUCUUUGGUACUAAUACAAUAAAUGUAUCCCUUUUUUCUUUUUUUUUUUUUUGGGGUUACUACUACUGCUACUGCUACUAUAACGAUCCUUAAUUUAUGCUAUGUCUUUUUUAGACUUUUUCGGGCUACUAAAGCAUUAAAUUCCAAAUCACCAGAGUUGAGACGCGGAAUUGGAUACUUUUCAUGCGUGCGUGCAAUUCUGAUUCUCUUUACGCUUUUUAUAAUAAAAAUUUUAGAAAAGCCAGCUAUGUUGACGUCCUUUUUUUAUGAAAGUUUUCUACAGAGAGAGUGAAAAAAGGGAGACCUGGAUAAUAGUGGUUGGAAAAUUUUGUUGAAAAGUACCGAAGGAUGUGCUUCAUCGACGGUCGUAUCAUUAUCGAGUCAUUUCAGUUCCAUAUAUAUCACGAUCAAAUGUGCAUAGGUACUCCAUUUGUCUUGUAGCAGUGUUUUGGUUCCAUUUUCACCCUGAUCGAUAAUUGCUGUGUCCAUCUGAUGCCAUAUUGAUAUAAUAUUAUAUAUAUGAAGAAAUCUUCGGAAAUGGCUAAGAUUAAAUAUAGAUUGUUCGGCCUUUCAUUAUCUUUUUUUUUUUAACUGCAACGAUUAGAUUUCUAUAACCUAAUUUAUCUUAAUUUAUAGGAAGAGGAAUCUAAAGAGAUUGUGUAUAAGGGACAAGUAAUUAUAAGAAUUUGACUUAGAUCAAAGGGCUAUCCCGAAAUCUAUUUUGAAUUUGUUUCACGACAAGUAGGGUUUAAAUCCCUGACUUACGGUUUAAAGAGGGAAUCAAUCCUUUUUUUUUUUUUGUGGCCAUUGAAUCAAAGCUAAGUGGUUUAUACAAUCUCUCUCGUUGUCGCUAUGAGAAAUUGAACUUAGCUUGGGAAUUAAGCUUGAACGAUCAUGGAUACAUAUAUAUAUAUGUGUGUGUGUGUGUGUGUGUAUUUAUCUAUUAUUUAAAAAUUAAAAUGUGGCCAAGAUAAAAAUAGACGCCCUAAUUAACCUCUAUGUGUGUCACUUAGCUAGAUGCUACGCAUAAAAAUUAAGAAGCAAAUAAGGCUGCUAUUUUGCAAUAACUAAUAGUCUAAUAUUAUUAUCUUUUUUUUUUCACAACGAUAAUAUUUGUAUAAGCUAUUCUAACCUAAUCUAAGCAGAGGGGGAGCCUAACAUUUCUGUUUUAUAUUAUUCGUACGUAUGGUCUAAGUGUAAAAAGAAAACAAAAAGAAUUCCCGAUUUCGAAAAUCGAGGGAGAAUGAAAGGAACAAUACUUAGAAGAUGAAUAAAACAAGAAAAAAAAAAUCAAAAAACUCGCAGGCCUCACAAAGUGACAAACUGCAACAACAGCCACAAAACAAAAAGGUGUCGUUGUGCAAGUGGAAAAUGGACCCUAAACUAAAACAGUGGAACAGUCUCCACCAUGCUCCAGUGUCCCGAGUCUGAUUAAUUAUCAUCAAAAUGCCGGCCUCUUCAGUUCUGGUUCUGGGCUGUGUUGUUCGAUUCCACCACUUUAGUCAAUUUUUAUUUUAUUUUUAUUUUAUUUUUGGUGGGUAAUGAAAGAUAAAAAUGCAUAAAUAGCACGUACUCUUUCUGUCGGAGCUUAUAUACGAUAACAUGAUCUUCUCCGACCCUGUCAUCUUCAUUGUUAAGGUCAUCUAAUCCGGGAUAUGAAGGUUUUAAUUGCGGAGGACGGGGGGCAUGCAUCAGCAGUCAUCACACUUGUGUAAUAGAACGGGAGGAAAUGUAAAAGCUUUACGCGGUAAACUUUAACUCCGUAAUAGAUUUGUUUGGACAGAGUAUUAGUUGAAAUAUUAUUUAAAAUAAUUAUUAUAAUAUUUUUUUAUGAUGUAUGUGAGAUAAAAAAUUGAUUGAAAAUUUAAAAAGAUGUGUUAAAAAAUAUAUUUAAAAUACAAGCGAACUAUUAUUUUAAAAAAAUAGAUAUCCAAACAAAUAAAGUGGUUUUUUUUUUCGGUGUUGGGAAGGGUGGGGUAAGUGCAAUACGAACUUUUGAUUGUUACUGAUUUGCACUUUAAAGCAUCAAUUUAAGUAAUUAAAUAGUGCCUUAUAUUAUCAAAUUUUUAGUACACCACUUAAAUUAAUUGAUUGUUCGUAACUAAAUAAGAAUCUUAUGUUAAACCGAUGCAAUUUAAGAACCUUGUCCCGCAUUAGAAAUUUUAGUUUCAAAAAGAAAAACUAUCUAUGUGUUUGGAUGGUAAGUUAUUUGAAAUAUUUUUACUGUAGCACUUUUUGUGAUGUGAUGUAUGUGAGAUAAAAAGGUAAUUGGAAAGAUAAAAAGGUGUAUUGGAAAUUGUAAUGGUGAUGUCAGCAAAUAUAUUUGGUCAAAUAAUUGGCUGUCCAAACACACUAUAUAUUUGCCUCCAAUUUAUUUGAACUAAACUCGCGAGUUCAAGAGGGCAAAACCAAAAUUGGUAAUACUCUAUAAUAGUAAUUGAAUGCGUAUUGCUACAAACUCUUUAGCUUCUCCUCUUUUGACGUUUUAUUUUAUCAAACAGUCUUUUUAAGGUACCGAAACUCUUGAGAAUUUGUCAUAAAUGUGAACCCGGUCACCGUCGGCUCAGCUCUCAAGCACCCAAAGUCUUCGCUCUCAUAUUUCAAUUCUGACCAAGCGUGAUGGUUGCCUAUGGCAUGGGUAAUUAAAACCUCCAGAGUCAAUGACAGGCUAGAUUAUUCUACUUAUUGUGGCCAUACUAACCAAUCAUCCAAAUCAAAAUCUAUACCUACUGAGAGUAGACUCUAUUCAGUCAGUUUUUUUUUUUUUUUUUCAAAAGGCCUUUGAGUUGAACCUUUCUAUCUUCGGAUCAUCAAAUGAUGCCUUUAAAAUUUCAUUUGUAGGAAGUAGGAGUGUGCAAAAUCGAAAAAUUUCGAUUUACUGAUCAAAUUUGAAUUGAAUUUGAAAUUUUCGAAUUCGAUAAUUCAGAAAUUGAAAUCGGGUUUUGCAAUUUCGAAUUAUGCAAAUUUGGUAAUGAAAAUUUUCAAAUCGAAAUUUCUGAUUUUGAAUUAACAAUUCAAAAUUCCUAUUUCAAUUUCAAAUUUGUUUUUCAUACAUAUAUUUAUAAUAUAUAUAUAUGUAAUAUAACAUUUAUAUUAUAAUAAUAAUUUUUAUAUUCCUGAAUUCAGUUAUUCGAAAUUCCUAUUUCGAUUUCAAAUUCGUUUUUCAUAUAUACACACACGUAAUAUAAUAUUUAUAUAAUAAUAAUAAUUUUUGUAUUAUUGAAUUCGAUGAUAUUGGAUUUUACCGAAUUUUGAAUUGAAUUCGAAGUUGGUGGAAUCAAAAUCAAAUUUGGUCGAAAAUUUUGAUGUCAAAAUUUCAAAAAAUUUUGAAUUUCAAAAUUUCGAAUUACCGAUUUUAAUUUCGAUUCACACCCCUAGUAGGAAGUGUUAUCUCAUAAUAUGAUCAACCAUGAAAUCUAACCAAAUGGAAUCAAUUUUAAGCUUGGUUUGAUAUUUGAAAACGCCUGAUCCAAGUUCGAGUAUUUUGACCUUUUUAUGUCUGAAUUCAGAAUAUCAUGUUUACAGUGCAUAAAAGUGACAUGUUGGCUAAUAACCCCUACUUAAUUUAAAUGUAACUGAUAUCAAUGGCAAAUCGGUAUGGCCGAAUUUAUACGCUAUACUAUUGAGUAACUCGGUCAAAAUUUCAACCCGCGUGUGAUGGAGAUGCAUACUUGUACACAAACCUUUGGAUACUUGAAAACUUUCAAUUGGAGCCAUGAUUACAGCAGCAGGUGGUGGAAAUUGGAGAUGCACUGAGCUAGAAUCAUGAUUUUCAUUUAGAUUUUUUUUAGCUAUUGAAGAAAGAUCAUCAUGUUUGAGGAGGAUCCUAUGAAUAUUACCUCGGCAUUUCCAGACACAUAAUUCACCUUUUGCGAGACUGGUGGGGCUCCGUCCAAGCCAGCAACCACGAUCGCCCCCAAUCAAGUGUCAAGAUUACGCUACAGUGUCCAGACGAAUUGAUUUGCAGUGCGUCGAUGUUUUCUUCUGUCUGUGCAUAUAUGAACAAGGCAAAACUACUUGUCUGGAAAUCCAUAACGUAAAUUUGAUAUCAUCUCAGGUUCUUGAGCUUUCUACUAACCUAAAACGAGAGAUUUGCCAUAGAAUUACAAGAAAGUUUGAUUAGUCAAUUAAUCAAAAUGGAAAAGAGCGUACGACUUGUUACAUCUUCAGUUGAGAUUACUGUACCAGUAGUUAAUGAAGGAUUUUGGGUGCCAUAAACACCAGCAAGAUGUUCUCAUAAUUUAAUCGGUCUGCUUAAAAAGAAAGUAUGAUUGCCCAAGUAAGAUACUGAAUUUUUAUGAUGAGCUUCAAGAAGUGGAAAUACAUGAUCGAUUAAAUUAGUUUUUGUAAGCUUUGCAACAAAGUCAACUUUAAAAUGAAUGAAUGCUAUGAUAGCUAUAUAUACGAUGAGUGCUGGCCAAGUAUUUCAGCAUCAGCUGGGAGACGAUGCGAAUUCAGGCUCUAGAAUUGGAAACAGAAACUUGUGUCGAAAUGACGGAAUGUCGUAAAGUUGGGCUUUAGCAUAGGUCGCCCGUCACAAAUUGGAACAUUACAUUACAGUGGCCUGUCCUUAAUACAUAGUUUCGCCCAAAUCCAUUUUAUUCGUCAGAUUUGUAACUCCUGCUGUUAGGGAUUGAUGGGCGGGAUUGGUCGAAGUCUUCCAGGAGAAGAAGCCAAUCAAUGGUUUACCCAAAUUGUCCCACGCGAUAGUCUGGGCCACAAACUGCAACUUCCAAUAACUUGAAUUGGGACCAAGCCCAGAAAUCAUAGAACAGGUCAGCCUAUUGAUUCCGAAGUUCAUACUAGUGUUGGUUGCGUGCACACAGUAGGGCAGGUUCACAAUGGUGCUUUGCAGAAUCACAACUGAUUCUUAGUGGAUCGGCAAAAACUCACGUAGUUUAUGCUUUACCUUUUUUUUUUUUUUUUUUUGGAUACAAUAGAUUUUAUUCUAUAUCUACUCCUACUUUAUAUUAGGGAGAGAAGUGAAUUUAAAAAGAUCAAAGGAAAAAUUAGAAAAGACUAAACUACAACUGGUUCAGACGGGUGCAUAGGCAAAAUUUUCAGAAAAGUCUGAACUUAAAAUGUAGGUUGUGGGUGCUCACCUCGGCCCUCAUCGUCUCUUCAGUGUCGAGGUGGUUCACUUCUUUAUGAUGCUCAAGGUCGAGGUGAUUAUCUCGACUCCUUAUCUUUAUUUCAUAACUCAUCUUCACCUUUCCAAGAUGAUCCCUCCUCGGCUAUAUCCUCAAGUUUGAUCACUCGACGUCUGACAUAUACAGGCAUAGCUGAUUAAUGCCAGGCGGGGUUGACAUGACCGCUGCUGUCGACCUAUCUCUGACACCGCCGCCCUAAACUAACGCCCCACAGGUGACAGGGAGCGGGUUCCAUCAUGCCUCCUUUGGGUCUCUUGACUAUAAAUAUUCUCCUCCUUUUUUUUGUGAAGGGGGGGGGAUAGACUCCAACUCAGUUUAGUGUGGCUCUUGCUCAUAACUCGAGUCCAAUUAGUCUUGCUUUUACUCGUAAUUUCUUACAUAAUUGACUUUAGCAUCAGAGCUAGAUCGAGGGAUAAGACCCCGCUCAUGCUUCUAUCUUGACAGGUGUGCUUGUACUGUCGACUUGGUUCGUCCAUCCAGAAAUCACCUCGUCAUAGGUCAAGGGAGUUUUAAAACUCUUUUGGUUACAUAGUUUAUGCUUUACCUGCAUACUAAGAAUAUUGCCGCAUUUCAAAUUGGAUUUCCUGAUAUAAUUGUUUCGGAGAUAAAGAGCACUGCGCAAGGCAGGCUAAAUACAGUUACAUGUAGGAUCACAAUAGUGAUAUCAAAUAGUCAUAAAUUACAACUCAAAAAAAAAAAAGUUAUAAAUACGGGGGUUAUCUGCUUUAUCAUUUGAAUGGUAAGAGUAGUAGAAUAAAUUCACUGCAGGGUUCAAGAAUAAUUGCUUAUUUCCAACAAAAGCAGUUAUUGUACAGACCGUGGCAAUUUCAUCCACGUUCUACACAUCUAGCACAUGGUCAUAACCAGAAGAAACAUGAGCAUAAAUUAUCAAAACCAUGGAUUAAUUGGUGACAAGCAUCAAAACAAGCUAAAAAUAAAGAUGGAAAGUCCAAGGUUAACAUCAACAACAAAGUGCUGAACUGGGAGUCGAACGAGCUAUGGGCUUGCGCUAGAGCCCGACGUCUCUGUGUUACAAGGGCAAAGAGUUUCUUGCAAUUCGGCGGCAGCUAGCUGUAGUUUUUGGAAAAGGGAAGAGAAGAUUCUGCGUUUGAUAGUACCUCGCACCGGGGUGACGAAUGGCCGUGCAUGGACAAAGUACGUAAUUUUCAUAGAAGAAGCUGAAGAGGAGGAAAAUGCUGUAGUACUACAAGUAGUGCUUUGAGAAUAAAUGGAUGUCAUGUUUUCUGUUGGAUGCUUACCUUCUUAUUUUCCAUGUGUAAUACUAAAACCCAAGAAAAAAAAAAAGGAGGGAGGCAGGUGGAAGCCUGGGGCUCACAACUGAUGAUACCUGCGAUCUUUUUGAUCGAGGAAGUUGUGUAUGUAUAGAGAAUGGUGUUGUCUAGUUGGGAUUCAAGCAUCCCUCCCCCAUUUCAACGAUAUAUAUAUAUAGAGAGAGAAAGGGGGAAGAGAUCUUAAUUAUAAGCAAAUGAAUUAUUGGUCAGGUAUUCGUUAUCCCUUUGAAAAGUUUGUUGGUGAAGGGCUGCUGUGGCGAUGGAGCCAGACAGAGACAGGGAUGGUUGAGAGAGUUAUGCAUGCUUUGGCCGAAAAAGGAUGCUUCCUACCACAUGCAGGAAUUCACUUCAUUAUGUUGUGGAUUGACCUCUUUUGGCUAUUACUAUAACUCUUUUGCACUUGCAUUACCAUACUAUGUUGGACGGAUUGGGCCGUAAUUAAUCCGACCGCCUGGAUGAAGAUUCCUUUAUUAUCCCUCCAUUCUUCCUGUGGGGAAUAUGACACGGCCCCCCGGUUGGGGGGUGGGGUGGGGUGGGGUGGGGUACGACUUACAAAUGUGCAGCUCUACAACAUAGUGCCAGUAAUUUUUGGAAUGUUUGUAGCCCUUAAUUCGUGAAUUCUUGACAUUCUGGAACCAAAUUGAAUCAUUAAUAGUAGAUUAUUGUAUGGUACUGCAUGAUCAGUUUUGUUUGAACAGUGCUUUUAUCUCAAAUAAUAUUUCGCUUGCAUCAUAAACAUAUUUUUUCAAUCCAUUUUUUUUUAUAUUUCCAAUCAUCUUUUUAUCUCACAUACAUCAUAUCACAAAAAAAUGUUACAGUAAUUAUUCCAAAUAAUACGCUAUCCAGAAAGUCCCCUCAUUUCUUUGGCAUCCAAAAUAAGCUGAGUCAUUCAAUAUUAAUUGUUUUCCCAAAUACAAGCUCCUUGAAUCCUCUACCACGGGUUGUGUUAAAAGUGUUGUGGUUGAUUUGACGGGUUGAAGUUCAUGUCAGUGGCCUUCUAAUUAUUUAUUACAGUAAAUAAUGCUGAAAGAUUGUCCAAUUCUCACGUUUCUAAAGAAAGAAAGAAGGAAAGAACAAUAUACUGUAGUGUAUUUCCAUCAGAAAAAAGGUGAAGUUAAAGAAACAGAAACAAGCACUCUUGAAAUAAUUUACGCAAGUUUUCUUAAUCCGAUUCCAGAGCCCUUUUUUUUCCGAACAAAACUUUUCAACCCCAGUGCCGGUUUGCUCAUUUUCGCUUUUGCCAAGUAACCGUGCAGUCCCUAAUAAAUUGAUUUUAUCCUAAUGAGACUUGAAAUUAGGACAGGCUAAGGCAGUCAAGAUGUGGGUUGCUUUUUGUAAUUAAGAAGAUCAGACUCGUUUUAGUUUUUGGGUCGUUCCUGGUCAAAAUCGCUAGAAAAUUUUAUGUACCGGGCUACGACAUACCCUUGUUGGAAUUCUAAUUCUAAUUGACCAGACAAAAUUUGUGAAAAUUUUCCAUAAUAACAUCAGUAAUGAAAACGGAACCUGUUUUCGACCUUCUUGUUCCUAGUUAGUAAGUAAUCUUGGGACGAGGGCUGUUAGGGAUGUAAUUGAAUCGAUUUACUCUUGAGCAGCUCGCGAAUAGUUCGAUCAAAAUUUUGACUUAUACUCAAUUCGAUAAUUAUUCAAGUCGAGUUUGAGUAUUAUUUUUUUAAAUUCGAUGGCUUGUCGAGUCUUAUUGAAUACAAAGUAAUUAAUUGAAAAUUAUAUAUUUAGUUAUUGUAAUUUUAUUCUUUUAGACUUAAAAAUUGUAUAAAUUAUCAAAAUUAUUCUUUUAGUCGAAUCAAGUGCUCACUGUGAUUAUACUCGCAAGAAAAUCAAGUAUAAUUAAAUCAAUUUUGAAUUUUCGAAUCAUUCUUUGAAUUCGAGUAAGAAGUCUACUAGUCGCUCGAGCUCGAAUACCUGUCAUCAUCGCAAAUUUUUGUCGCCACCUGUCAUCCGCAGCCCAUCCCAGUCGAACCGCAUCGGACAACACCAGUAGUGGGUCUCGCGUCUGGCCUUUACAGAAAUAGCUCGUAGAAAAUGGAGUGGCAAAAAAGAAUUUCUGUUUCUCUUUAUUAUUUUUAAAAAAGAACAAUUAAGGAAAAUCAUCAUCGUCAAUCAAUCAAUCAACCAAACCUUCCUUCUGGAAAAUACCGCCCCGCAUUCCCUUUCUUCUCUGCUGCUGCUGCUACUACUAAACUACUUUAGUAGUAGUGGGAGAAGUAAAAUUGCUUUGCUUCAUCUCUCUCUCUCUCUCUCUCUCUCUCUCUAGAAGUGUUUGCGUGCCUACGUAGGAAAGAGGGAGAGAGUUGUUUGUAUUAUGAGCCGUAGCCUUGGAAGCUUGAAACGACUGCGUAUUCCACCCCAACUCGAAGCUUUUAACUUCUCUCUCUACCACCGCUCCACUUCCUUCUUCUCCCUCCUCUCGUCUCUCUCCCCAUUCCGCCUUCUCAAACGCCUCUUCUUCAAAACCCUCCGCUACUUCCCCGUCUCUUUCCACCGCAUGGAUUCCUCCUUUUUAUUCUCCCUCUCUUCCCCCUCCCCUUCUUUCGCCGACGACGUUUUGUCUUCCGAUUACUCCUCUCCUUCCUCCUCCCCUGAACCCCUCUUCUUAGUUCCCCUCAGGUACUUUUUUCUUCACUUCGCUCCCGCCGCCGCCGCCUCCUCCUCCUUUUCUUACUUUUUUUUCUUUUACUAUUUGACUCUUUUUUUUUAUGUAGGUGGUGGACUGACGCGAAUGCGGCGUUGUAUGGCGGCGGUGGCGGCUGUGGGGAGAAUAAGGGAGUUUUGUAUAAUGUGACGUCGCGUUUGAGUAAUAAGGAGCUUGAGAUGGAUGAUUUCUUGUCGGAGGUGGAGUCCGAGAUUGUCCUUGACAUGACGAGAGUUGGGGAGACCGGCACCGCCCAAGGAGAGGGCGUUUCUGGCAGCUGCAGCGGCACCAGUGAUCUUAGUCUUGCUUUGAUUUCUGAAUGGAUGUUCUUGAGAGCUUUUAGAUGGUGAAAUACUUAUUUAAUUUCACUCUCUUUAUGUCUUUUGCAUGCUUUUGCAGUUACUUUUCUUCUGUAUUUUGCCACUCCCGAAUUAAUCAUGGAUGAAUUUACUGAGUUGCCAUAACUAAUUAUCAUUAGUAACCGACAAAGGCUUCUUUAAAGCCAUCAGAAAUCCGUGUAGUAAUAAAUGUCCCUGUAAAAAUCUUGACGGUUCUUUAAUCGUUCGUGAGUAGAAUAUUAGUAUGUGAGCGGCAUAAACCUCACCUUUAGAAAGUGAGUAAAUAAAUUGACUUCCGAUUUCUUGAUAUAUCUGUAAUCUGACGAUGCCCGUUUUCAAAAAGUUGUGUGUUUGGACUAGUGUCAUGAGGAAAUUCAUGUACCGUACCAUUGACGUUUUAUCUGUUUCAUUCUUCCUUGUAGGCAUAAUGAUACUAAGGAUGUGGGAGCUUUUUUAGCGGCAGCAGAUAUUAUACAGGACUUGUUCUCUUUACAAAUCCGACUUUCCUUUUCGUGCAAAACAGAUUCACUCAUAAUAAGGAUAAACCGAAAGGUUUCAAGACAAUCCUCCUUUUCCUUGGCAUCUCUCUACCCUGUUAAGUUGUGAUUGUUGCCCUCUUGUUAGUGGUUCAUUGCCAACUAGUGAUUGAACUUCAAUUCUGGUCAAGCAUAAAAGAAAUUUGAUUAAAGUUCUUGAGAGCUGAGUUACUGAUCUACUUGCGCAGAAAGAGACGGAGAGAAGUACGAGCCCGGUUCAUGUAUUGUGCUUUAUGAAUAUGUAAAAUGGCUUAGGAUCUAGAGAAUGGGUAUAGCGUUGAUUUGUCUCAUUAAUUCUAAUUGCCACAAUAUUAAAGUAUUAACAACCAUAACUACAUAGAAUUCAAUUAUUUCAUAUUCUAAGAGCAAAAUGAGGGUUAGGGUUUCUCUCACUUUUGGCAUAGCGAGCUGCACUGGAGGCUCGCACGAUUUGCUCUUAGCUCAGUUAUACAUUGUGGCCCAGAUAAUUGCAUCAUUCUGCCUAUUUGUGACAGCUCUAUCUGUGAUGGCUCUCAGCUGCAUAAAUCAUUAAUAAUUGUCUGGGAAAAUCAUAUUGUUUCUACAUUGUGUUUCUAUCUGCAAUUUGAAUUUUUUAGUGUUUCAACAGUAAGAUAGUGUUCCAUGGAGCUUAAGCUUUCAAAUUCUGGGAUUUCUAAAUGGUAAAGAUAUAGCACUGUUCUUUAAUCAGAAUUUAUGUUCAGCCAACCAACGAAUUAAAUGGUUUGCUACUUAGUUUACGUGAUAGUAAGUGUGAAAGUCUAUCAUGUAGGAAGUUGUCUUCCUCUGUUAAUUACCAUAAAUUUAUUACCUUUCUGCCACUUGGUUAAGAACUUUCUUAGUUUGCUUUGUAAAAGUUUAUGAAUAAUAUGUUCAUAUGUGCAAAAAGAGCAUGAAGGGACUGAACGAAAGCUUGAUUUUCAGUUGUAAGGGGAUAGUUUCAUGCUUUAGAAGAGUGACGUGAUUAGUAUGAUUUGUCUCAUGCUUUUGGAUCUCUUCUAUAUGCAGAUAGUACAAACUGAUUUGUCUUGGUGGUUUCUUGCUUUCUUUAUCUGACAAGUUUUCCAUACAUUUUCAAGGACAAUGAGCUUAGAGAUUUUGAUCGAGCUUGCAGUAUUUUUUGUGUUGAUUCCGGCAUGGUAAGUUGAGUAAUGUUUUAGUAGCCCACAUCGUGCUCCAUCUCCUUUUUGUAUAAGAAAGAAAGGAAGAACUGGAGACAAAUUGAUCUCUUUCAUCUGUUGUGCAGUUGGAAAUUUGGGACUUUUCCGGACAGACAAACCAGUUUUUCAUGGAUGACAGGAAGCUACUCAGUGAUUUUGAUCAGCCUCGUGAGGAGGUAAGUAGAUACUUACUUCUCUUCUUUAUUUGUAAUCAUUGUAAGCCUUAUAUGGCCUACAUCCUAGUUGACUAAAUGUGAAAAUGUUGAUCUACAUGAUCCUAAUUCUUAGAGACAUGAGUACGUACAAUCAAGUUGACUCUGUUCUUAAAAUUGCCAUUGAAUGCAUAGAAUAUGAAACAGCAAAAUGCAGAUAUGCUUGUGUCACUGUGAAUUUCAUUUUUCUUUUUGGGUUGUUCUGUGGAUUGGAGUUUUGAUUAGGUACACUUCUAGUUUCCAGAAGAAAUAAAGCCCGUACGAUUACUGAUUUGGUAUUGGUUUUCUUCAAUGUUUGCGUAUAGGCUUCUUAGUGAUUAUAUCGGACAGCGUUGGAAUGGAUAGUCUACCAUUAACAUUUUGAAUUACUUUUCACAUGAGACAUUUAGCUGUUAAGAGGAGCAUUUUAUUUACUUGAUCAUAAUAAUUCAAAACAUUAUAUUAGUUGUGAUUAUUUGUUUUAUGGAGUUGAUGGCUUAUUUAACAUGUUAUACUUCGCAUAGAUUUGACUUUUAACUGUAUAUUCCUUUUCAUUCUUUGGAAUUGCUUAUUACAGAUGAUUUUGGAGUUGCAAGUUUAUGGGGUUGCUGAGGCUAGAGACAAUAAAAGAGAGAAAAUGAUUACUGACCAAUGCAAGAUUGAAGCUCCUCCUAUCAGUGGUACAAUGACGAUGAAUGGGAGUAUGGAUGAUGAGCUAUUCUCCAGAUUCAAGCAGUCGCCUCCCCUUGAUGGUAGCUAUAGUAAUGCUUGUGCUUUGGGCUUGACUGGAUUAUAUAAUCUGGGGAACACUUGUUUUAUGAACAGUGCCCUCCAGUGUCUUGUGCAUACAAGGGAGCUGGUUGAUUAUUUCCUUGGAGACUUCCGAAAAGAUCUUAAUUUCGAAAAUCCUUUAGGCAUGAAUGUAAGUAUUAAUGAUGUUUUACAUUUUCUUUUUGGUUUUCUUGUACCUUUUUUAAUCUCCAGUAAAGUUGUUUAAACUCGCUUUCUCUCAUAAAUGUGUCCAUAUUGAUAAAGUUUUUACUAAUUUGGACCACUUCAUCAGGGUAAGCUAGCAUUAACUUUUGGAGAAUUGUUGAGGAAGCUAUGGGCUCCAGGAGCAACACCAGUGGCUCCAAGGAUAUUUAAGUCUGUGAUUGCUGGUUUUGCUCCUCAGUUCGGCGGAUAUAGUCAGCAUGAUGCUCAAGUCAGUGAAGAAUGUGUAUUGUUUUUAAGGUUUUCUUUUUCCAUGCAAUUUUCUAUUCCACAGUAACAUUCAUAAAAGGGAGUUCUGUAGUUUUGUGGAUGUCAUAGAUGCCAUUUUGUACAGUAUUAAAAAUCAAUCAUGGAAAAUGUUGCAUUAUUUGUCUACUGCCAUGUAGGAGUUUCUUGCUUUUUUGUUGGAUGGGCUUCAUGAAGAUCUCGAUCGUGUAAAGCAUAAGCCUUAUGUUGAAGUGAAGGAUGUAGAUGGACACUUAGAUGAAGAAGUUGCAGAUGAACAUUGGCGGAAUCAUCUUGCUCGCAAUGACUCUAUCAUUGUUGAUCUGUGCCAAGUGAGCAUUCCUCAUCUGUUACCAAUGUCUUUGAUGACCCAUGCCGUUAUCUUUGCAAGUUUUAACUUUUAAGUGCAUCCAACUUUACAAACAUUCUUGUUUUACGAUGAAUUUUAAUGGGCUCACAUUUUUGUGAUAAUGUAGAUGAAAGACAGUCUUUUAGGAAGAUUUACCUCAUCAAAGGAGUGGCACUAUAAUUUGCUAAUUCGCUUAUGUGAGUAAUUAAUUUUGUUUAUUGUGUUGUAGGGUCAGUACCGGUCAACAUUGGUUUGCCCUGUUUGCAAGAAGUUAUCCAUUACAUUUGAUCCAUUUAUGUACCUGUCAUUACCACUUCCUUCUACAACAAUGAGAAAAAUGACUUUGACUAUUUUCAGCACCGAUGGUAUCACUUUGCCUUUGCCAGUCACAGUUGCUGUGCCCAGAGAUGGGACUUUGAGUGAUCUGGUUGAGGCCUUGAGUGUGGCUUGCUGUUUACGAGAUGAUGAGACGCUGUUAAUUGCUGAGGUAACUUUUUCAAAGUAUAGUUGAUUAAUUGGUGCUUUUCUAUCUAUCAUGUAUUCCGGCUGAGUUGGCAACCCAAGCUUUCUUUACCAGUUCGAUUCUACUAUUUAUGAUUUUACUCUGCAAAUAUCUUGUGUAAUCCAUGGCAUAAAGCUGGAUAAAACCAUUAACAAGCCACGGGCAAUGGUAGUUAUAUUGUCUGACCUUAUUGUUCUUUUCAACUUUGUAAAUCAAGCUGAAUAUUACACAAUUAGGCUGUUCCUUUUGCUCCAUUAUGAUAGUUCACUUGACCUUAAGCAUCUAAUUCGAAGAACCUCAAAUGUCUUUCAUUCAAAUUAUUCAUGGUGAAACUAACAUGUCUAGGAUAUUGUUGCCCCGCCCAUCAUGUUGCUUGUAUGAUUUUGUGAAAUGGAGAAUUUACACCUUGACAUGUGGGGUCAUCUGCAGGUAUUUGAUGGUAGCGUUCUUGGUUAUCUAGAGGAGCCAUCUGGUAAAAUAGACCUGAUUAGAGAUCAGGCUCAUCUUGUCGCUUAUAGAAUGCUGAAAGAAAGUCAAAGAUCUCCUUUGUUCGUGUUCCGACAUCUACGUGAAGAAAAGUAAGUGUUGGCAGCUUUCAUCCAAUCUAUGUUACUGUUGCUGGAAUCAGCUCUAGCUUCCAAGGUUGCUGUCUUUUGAAAAUUCUAUGUUUCUGAGAAGGUUUUUCCACGAUGUGAUAGCUGUCAGUUUUUCUUUUAAGUCUGUGGCCAAAUUCUUGUUUGUCUGAUCUCUCUCUCUCUCUUCCUGGCAAGCACUUAUCACACGGCAUAUGGUAUUGUACUAUCUUUGUGAGUUAAGCAGCCAGUACUUAUAAUAGUAACAUCCAUUGUCAAAUUUACUUGUUGCUUCCUCAACAAUUCUUCACAAGUGUUAGGUGGCUGAAUUCAUUUGUUUUGUCCCCUUGAAAGUAGAGCAUUUAUUUUUCAAAAUCAAAGACAGUCCGAACUUUUAUGUGUCUUGUUGGAUGAUUUAUUCUUUCAUGCACUUUGUAGGUUCCAAAAGGUUAAGGAUUUAAUUUAUAUGACGAGAUCUAAUGAGCUUGAGUUUUGAGUUUUGAGUUUGGUGAUAAUUUCAGGAAAGCAUAUUUGGCACUGAUUUGUUAGCUUUCCACCUUUACUUAAGACUUAUCAUGGCGGUGGGGAUGGGGGAUGGACGUAUAAACUUCUGGACUAAUCUGUAUCUUCUAUAACAUGUUUGAUUCAGGUCAGAAUUUACUGGAUACAUAUAUUGCAAGAAAUUUGGUGUGCCUCUCCUGUCAAGGGUAUCUAAUUUUUCUGAAGGUUCUGAGAUACGCAAAGAAUUCCUAAAGCUGCUUAACCCAUUUGUAAUGCCUGCAGAAGAAUUGUCAAAUGACUAUGAUUGUAAAGGGAUUGACACUAAUGGAGAUGGUAAGAUAGAGUCAAUUCUGGAUGAAGAUGCAGACAUAGAGCCUGAAUCUGAGAUUGACAGCUGUGACUUUCAGUUUUAUCUGAAUGAAUCUUGUUGGAAAGAGUAUAAGAUAGAAAUGAAUAACCCGAGGCCAAUAUCAGUGUCUUCUGGCAUUGUGAAUGUGUUUGUUUCCUGGCCCAAAAAAAUGCUGGAAGUGUAUGACACUUCCCUUAUGAGUGUUUUACCAGAAGUCCAUAAAUCUACACUCUUCUCAAGAAAGUAUCAGGAAUCUGUUUCCCUAUAUAAAUGCCUUGACGCCUUCUUGAAGGAGGAACCACUUGGACCAGAAGACAUGUGGUGCGUGUCUUGAGUUUCUUUUGCUUUAUGUAUUCAACUUGCAAAUGUGAUGCUAUUGUUAGCAUUUUUGCUUGUAGACUUUUUUGAUAGCUUAUACAAAGUAAAACUGUAUUAGCUUUACUUUCUCAUGAGCAAUGUUUCCCAUUCCCUGCAGAAAUUGCUUUUUUUGGUCUCACUGCCUUGUGGUAUUGUCAACUUAUUUAGGUACUGUCCCAGUUGCAAAACUCACAGGCAAGCCAGCAAAAAGUUAGAUCUGUGGCGAUUGCCAGAGAUACUGGUUAUUCAUUUAAAGAGGUUCUCAUACAACCGAUAUUUCAGAAACAAGCUAGAAACAUUUGUUGACUUUCCUAUAAAUGAUUUUGAUCUAUCAAAUUACAUGGCUCACAAAAAUAUCCAUAUGUCGCACCAUUACAUGCUUUAUGCUGUAAGUAAUCACCAAGGUGGCAUGGGGAGUGGUCAUUAUACUGCAUUCAUUCAAGUAAGUUCUUUUUGGCUUUCUUUAAUUAUGUUCUUUUUUUGUAGAUAAGCUGUGGGGUGAUUGAUCUCACCUUGAGACUUCUGAAAGACGUUACAAAAACCACCUUUGAAUUAAGGAUGCUGUAAAAUUUUCAAGUUACCUUCUUCAAGGAAAUAGAUGAGGGAGAUCAUUGGAAUUUAAUCUUAGAAUUAACUUGACAAAGGUUUCUGAUGUACAAGGAAUUUAGAAAUGGAGAUUAGUAUUGUUUGGGAAACAAGAACGUCUCUGGUCUUUAUUUUUAAUUGGACAUUUUCCCUAGGAUUUAGAGGUCUUGUGUUCAAAUCCCUCCUUCCCGUCCCCACUUCUUAAAUCCCACCCCUCUCUGCUUGUUUUGUGGGUUGGGGGGGGGGGGAGAGUCUCUGGUCUUUAUGACAUAGAGAUGUCUGCAUGACUAACCUAAAUGAUGUGUUUUCUCUCUCUUUUAUUUGUAUCCCACUAGCAAAGGGACUUGAUGAAAAGAUAUCAAGUUGGAUGUCUUUUUUAUUAGUUAGAACUGAAGAUGCAGUUCGUGUCCAUUCUAUGUGGUUUUCAUAACCUUUUAUACAUAAUUACUGGAUACCAAGUGUUGCACAGAAGCUGUGGGAUUUUUUUUUUUUUUUUCGGUUGAAGACAUUCUGUUGAUGUAAAAUCCAGUGUCUCAUCUUUCUUUUCUAUGCUGAAUGAGUUAUUUGAACUGGAUACGUCUUCAUCAACCUCCCCUCUUCUGUCUUACUGACUGUGAAUAUUUUGACCUCCCCUUGAGUUUAUUUGUCUUUUAUUUGGAAGGACUAGAUCCUUUUCUCUUAAUAAUAAUAGCAUGCAUUUACUCUUUGAGAAGAACGAGAGUUUAGUUUGGAUUAAAGGCUCUGUUAAAAGUUGAUCUUUACUUUCUAAUUUGGUACAUCAUAGCAAGAACAUUAAAUGCUUGUUUAAUAACACUCCUAAUAUAAAAGCCAUCAUAAGAUUGUAUAGUUAUUACUUUUGAUAUUGAAGUUAUGCAUAGAAAUAAUGCUUCUUCCCUGGUUCAGAGGUUAGCCUUCUUGGGGGUCCAUAUCAGGAAACCUAUAGAGAGAGGUGUUUUAUUCACAUCAACAGAUAGAAUAGAUUGACUUGUGGGUGGAACAAUAAUGGAUUUGUUGAAAACUUCAGUAAACGGCAGAUGUUAUCGUCAGUAAAUAGUUGAGAACUUUGAUAAAGAACUGUUACUUGAUUUUUCUGUCCUUUUGCUGACAAUUGCAUUCUUUCAUCUAUGUUCAGUUCUUAUUUGAUGCUUUCUCUGCUUAAAUAUUUCUUUUUCAUUUUUUAUUCAGUCGUUGUGUCUUCAUAUUUUGGAGUUGGAAUCCUUUGGCUUCUAGGAGGCAUAGUUUAGUUUUAUGCGCAUUUUCCUAUAGUUGAACUCAUUUGAUCAUUAAAACAUGUUCACCUUCUCUAACUUGAAUUUCUGCUUAAAAAAAAAAAAAACUUUUAUAUCCCAAGUGGUCAAACCUUCGUCGAAAGAAUAUCCAAAAUACUUAUUAUCCCAGUUGGAAUUUUUGUUGCUUGAUGCAGCAUGGGCAAAAUAGGUGGUACGAAUUUGAUGACAGCAAUGUUUUCCAUAUUAGCGAG